UGUCCUAUGAUUCCUCUUAUUGCUAUGAUUCCUUAACUGUAAACUAUCAACUGUAAACCUAAACUUUCCCUGACCCCUACUCAUACUAACGCUACACAUUAUACGUGGGCUGGCUGCCGCGCAACUAACUACAAAGCUUGGCGGUCAUUAUCCUAAGCUUGUCUACUUUUUGAGUCCACCAAGAAUUCUUGACUUCAAAGUGGUUAAGCUACUAUAUAUCCUGUAUACGCUCUUUCGAUUCCCCGAAGAUUCUAAGAUAAGGCAUUUCAGGUCUAAGAAAAGAAACAGCAAGCUAAUUAGAGUUUCUCAUUUAUGUUUAUAUAGUAGGGUUCUCUCAAGGACACUGAUCUCUGGACAAUUCUAAUACGGAGGGCAGUUGGCUAUACCACACAAGAUGACAGGCAGUUAAUAUCCUAGAGUGCCUCUUCCGCUAACUCUCAAUAGACUUGAAUUUCCGUAAGAAUGCAGGGUUUAACCCUUCUACGAUUCGUGACUUUCUUUUGAUCACAUUGAGCCAGGCUGAGAGACGAGGAGUAGCUCCGAAAGAAAGAAUAGCCAGACUUUCGUGUACUUGGUGGUGUCCUUCUAUUUGCGUUUCGUGUCUAAAUCUAAGUAGAAGCAUGAGUAAGGUGCUAAGAGCCUUUGAAUCUUGGUGUGAAAAAGAAGGGUGCCCCCCUGCAUACGUAUAUGAUUGAUUGAUCUCCUCCCCGGCCCGUAGAUGUCAAAUACAAAAAGGGGGAUUUUCAGUGAAUAUAUAAGCAAAGAGGACAAGAGCCCGAUUGUUUGGGGCGACUACACGGCGGAGCGGAUUCUUUAAAUAUCGGCUGCUAGUCCAAAUCAAUAGCAGAGCACAAGCCUACCAUCAGACUAGAUUAUAUCCAAACCCCAGGGUUGUUCGGACUGGUACGAUCAAGACUUCGACUCCGACCUCCGAAGUAAGGUCUUACACUCCUAGAAUCAAUAAUCUAUAUUAGGUCUUCUAGGAUCCGCAGGUCGUGAAGGAGAUAAGCAGGACUCUUGGUGAAAGGAUUUUCGCUGACUCUUUUACCUUGAAAGUCAAAACUAUCCGGAAGAGUAUUCUUUUGAAUGCCUUGAGCCUUGAGGUAAGCAUUACUUACCACCAUCACAACUCAUGAUUCAUGUCUUUCGAAGAUAGGGGAACAUUGUGUUUUGUCUUUCCAUGAUUGAUUUAAGCGCUUUACAGAAUGGAUAAGGUUUGGAACUAGACAGAUUGGCAGUAAUGCGAAAACAUAAUCCCAAAGAGAAUAAAGAAUAGGGAGAAUUCAGAUUUGGUGGUACCUUCAUUGAUACUCAUCAUGCGAAUUGGAGAGCAUGCCCCUAUGUAUCUGUUCUUUAUGAGAAGUUCCUUCUAAAGAUGUCAACAUCUAUUUUGGAUUCAACAGCGGAAAAACAUCAAACAAUUCAUGCUUACUAUAGGUUCUAUUUGGCUUGUCGAAAUACCGUCAUCAUAAAUGAUGCCUUGCCUCGAUGGUAUACCUAUCGCAAUGCCUUCAUCCAAAUUGGAUAUGACCGGAGAAAAGGGAAUCUGCCAAUCGGUUAAAGCAAAGAUUCUGUUGGUGUUCCAUAAGCCCUAUUCCGUCCUAUUUUCUUAACGUUAUUAGUAGCGGCUCUUAAGAAGUACGCCCAAAAACAACAGGCGGCAACCNNNNNNNNNNNNNNNNNNNNNNNNNNNNNNNNNNNNNNNNNNNNNNNNNNNNNNNNNNNNNNNNNNNNNNNNNNNNNNNNNNNNNNNNNNNNNNNNNNNNNNNNNNNNNNNNNNNNNNNNNNNNNNNNNNNNNNNNNNNNNNNNNNNNNNNNNNNNNNNNNNNNNNNNNNNNNNNNNNNNNNNNNNNNNNNNNNNNNNNNNNNNNNNNNNNNNNNNNNNNNNNNNNNNNNNNNNNNNNNNNNNNNNNNNNNNNNNNNNNNNNNNNNNNNNNNNNNNNNNNNNNNNNNNNNNNNNNNNNNNNNNNNNNNNNNNNNNNNNNNNNNNNNNNNNNNNNNNNNNNNNNNNNNNNNNNNNNNNNNNNNNNNNNNNNNNNNNNNNNNNNNNNNNNNNNNNNNNNNNNNNNNNNNNNNNNNNNNNNNNNNNNNNNNNNNNNNNNNNNNNNNNNNNNNNNNNNNNNNNNNNNNNNNNNNNNNNNNNNNNNNNNNNNNNNNNNNNNNNNNNNNNNNNNNNNNNNNNNNNNNNNNNNNNNNNNNNNNNNNNNNNNNNNNNNNNNNNNNNNNNNNNNNNNNNNNNNNNNNNNNNNNNNNNNNNNNNNNNNNNNNNNNNNNNNNNNNNNNNNNNNNNNNNNNNNNNNNNNNNNNNNNNNNNNNNNNNNNNNNNNNNNNNNNNNNNNNNNNNNNNNNNNNNNNNNNNNNNNNNNNNNNNNNNNNNNNNNNNNNNNNNNNNNNNNNNNNNNNNNNNNNNNNNNNNNNNNNNNNNNNNNNNNNNNNNNNNNNNNNNNNNNNNNNNNNNNNNNNNNNNNNNNNNNNNNNNNNNNNNNNNNNNNNNNNNNNNNNNNNNNNNNNNNNNNNNNNNNNNNNNNNNNNNNNNNNNNNNNNNNNNNNNNNNNNNNNNNNNNNNNNNNNNNNNNNNNNNNNNNNNNNNNNNNNNNNNNNNNNNNNNNNNNNNNNNNNNNNNNNNNNNNNNNNNNNNNNNNNNNNNNNNNNNNNNNNNNNNNNNNNNNNNNNNNNNNNNNNNNNNNNNNNNNNNNNNNNNNNNNNNNNNNNNNNNNNNNNNNNNNNNNNNNNNNNNNNNNNNNNNNNNNNNNNNNNNNNNNNNNNNNNNNNNNNNNNNNNNNNNNNNNNNNNNNNNNNNNNNNNNNNNNNNNNNNNNNNNNNNNNNNNNNNNNNNNNNNNNNNNNNNNNNNNNNNNNNNNNNNNNNNNNNNNNNNNNNNNNNNNNNNNNNNNNNNNNNNNNNNNNNNNNNNNNNNNNNNNNNNNNNNNNNNNNNNNNNNNNNNNNNNNNNNNNNNNNNNNNNNNNNNNNNNNNNNNNNNNNNNNNNNNNNNNNNNNNNNNNNNNNNNNNNNNNNNNNNNNNNNNNNNNNNNNNNNNNNNNNNNNNNNNNNNNNNNNNNNNNNNNNNNNNNNNNNNNNNNNNNNNNNNNNNNNNNNNNNNNNNNNNNNNNNNNNNNNNNNNNNNNNNNNNNNNNNNNNNNNNNNNNNNNNNNNNNNNNNNNNNNNNNNNNNNNNNNNNNNNNNNNNNNNNNNNNNNNNNNNNNNNNNNNNNNNNNNNNNNNNNNNNNNNNNNNNNNNNNNNNNNNGAAGCUCUAUAACAACUGCGGAGAAGCUCUAUAACAACCAAAUAGGAAAGAUCUUGAAGGAAAGAAAGAAAGGAGAACUUUGGAUAGGAAAGGAAAGAUCUUGAAAAAAAGGAGAACUUUGGAUUAUUCCAUAUCAAAGGGCUGAUUCCACUUCCAACUUACAAGGACUGAUUCCACUUCCAACUUACGGAGGAUGAUAUCUUCGUAGACAAUAAGAGAUAGAUCUAGGGGUCAGGAGAUGAUCUUUGUAGACAAUAAGAGAUAGAUCUAUGGGUAAAGAGAUGAGAUUCUUUCUUAUUAGUGGAAAAUUGCCCUAGCUAGAUUCACUCCCUUAUUAUAGCAGCGCAGCCCCUUGGCUUUGUCCCAUAACAGCUGAUAGCAAGCAUUCCUGACUUUGGCUUUGUCCCUUACCAGCUGACAGCAAGCAUUCCUUACCUUGGCUUUGUCCCUUACCAGCUGACAGCAAGCAUUCCUGAAUGGAUCUAGACUCUUUGGCUACCGGCACCUCAACAAAGUCACUUUCCUUCCUUCCACUCUAAUAGUUCUAGCUUUCUUUAGGGGCCAUAAGAAGAAAGUGGAAUGUGCUAUUCUCAGUCAUCCCAUUCCCUUCCAGUUGGAACUAGUAAUGCCGCAUCAGGCUCUUCCUUCUUAUUGAGAGCAAAGGGGUAUACCUUCUGCGUGCUUAACCCAGCAAGAUCCGAGAUCUGAUCUACGUCCUGCUUACCCGCAUACCCUUGAAAAGACACUUUAUGCCCCAGGUGUGAAGGAACUUCUUGCACAUGGGGAAGGAAUUCGGAGGGAAUAAGGCAUCAAAGAUCUAUGGCAUCAGUCGAAGACUAGGUUGCAUCAUAGAAUAUAUAGGUUGCCAAUAAGAUGAAGGCAAUUCUCUUAAAUAGGGAAGGGGAGCUAUGUCUUUACUCAUAGGGAAGGGGAGCUAUGUCUUUACUCCACUAUAUACUUGGUGCUCGAAAACAAACAAACAUCACUUAUUUCAUUGAAAAAAGCAAAUAGAAUAGUUAAGGGAAUGGAAUCAAAAACAGAUAAUAGAGAAUACGAUAUGGAACAAUAAACAAGUACUGUAGCGCCUAGAAGCAUAAGCCACAUAUCUUGGAGUUCCGAGUUCACCCAGAACCAUAUCAGAAGCGGGAGACAGAGAAUCACUUCAGGGUUAAGAAAGGAGAGUUCGAGUAUAGGAUCUUAUCUCUAUCGGUAAAGUCGAAAGGAACCGACCCAUAGCAAGCGGAAAGUGGAGUUUCAGAAUCAUUAAUACAUCCUGUCUGGGGUAGGAACUUUAUAAGUUGUUGUAUCCGGAAUAAGGAGAUACUGAAUCUACUGGAUCUAUAGAAUCAUAUAGAUCAGGGAGCAAUAGUAAUAUGUCCAGAGUCGGUGUAAGGAGAAGAAGUUCAGCAGCUAGACAGAAUACAAAUAUCAGAAGAGAAAUAGGGCUAUAUUUAGGUAAGAAGAAUAGGAAUAGGAUUUCGCUAGGUAUUAUAGAAAAGGGUAAGUCACAAACCAUGCGCUCUCUACUUAUUGAAUCGAAUCGGCUGACUUUUGAACUUCUGAAGAUCCUAAUUCCAAUCCAACUCUUUCUGUAUCUGUAGUCCUGUUUUCUGGGGCCCCCGUGUGUCUUUCUCUAUGACGAGUAGUUAACAGGCGUUAAACGACAAGCUUCUAAAUUCAUGCUCUUGCUUCAAUGGAAUCUCUUUCUGGGGAAUUUGGAGUGGGCAUUAUUGCCCCAUGUCGGUUCCGCUCUUAAUCGUUCCCUGCCUCUGUUCAUCACGCUGGUUCAGUAGUUUCGAUCAACGAUGUCUCUUUCGUCGUCGUUAAUACGUGGAAUAGAGAGUGACUCGGCAGUGGUCUCGUCUGGUGCUUUCCCAUCGCAGCACUUCCUUGUUAGUCGAUUCAUGUGGAUGGUGAUCCAUUGGUCUUUCAAUCGACUGGAUCAAUCUUCUCAGGAUUCUUAUACCGACGAUGGCCUUUUUUCAGUACACCUUAUUGACUUCAGUAAUGGAAUCUAUCUCACCCGCCUCUCAUUUAGGAAUAGAAACUACCUUUCCUGUUAGCGCAGAGGAAAACAACACUCUAAAUUGAACUGAUGUGUAUUGCAGACAUGAAUUUAUUGAAUCCUAUAAUCUAAGGAAUUUCUCUAAGACACCUUGGGCUACGGGCAAUCACAGGACAUUAAGCUGCUGACUCCCAGUUUACUGCUGGCUCUCUCUCUUGGGGUGCUAACGGGUGAAGCCCUGUAACUCGCUUGUUUGUUUGUUCUCCUGACUGCAAUUACAAAUUGAGGGUUAUAUGAAGACAACUCUGGUUUUCACCCGAUACUUGAAAGUUCAAGAACUCCUGCCGCGGAAGGAGCCCCGGUGCUAGAGUCUGAGUUGUUGUAGAAAGAACAGCUCUUGGUCUUGCUUGGGAGGGAAGGAAGGCUUUUUUGGUUUUGGGCUAUUACUAGUAGAUCCCUUUCUCUUUGCACGAACAGGGAAAAGAUCAAAGCAAGGUAUUCCUUUUGAGAAUCUAGUUGAUGCGAGCCUAAUUCAUUAUGCCAUAUCCACUCGACUCGGGUAAGCCAAAAAAGAGGUGUCUCAAUAGCCCUUGGGUGAAUAAUAGAAUACGGGAAUGAUUCAUUGAACGGAACCUACCAGUUAGGCUUGGAGAACAGAGCUAGUCAACAGAUCUAGACGUGCGAUAUGGGACACGAACGCCAGGCCCUGUUGCCUGAAGGGAGGGACGAGGUCUUUCUUUUCGGUCUUUCUUUUAGAGACAAAGGGUUAGGCGGCUGAUUCAGAGGAGUAGGCUAUUGGCAUUCCAUUCCGGACAAGGCAGUUAGCGGACUUCAGGCUAUCACUCUCUUCCGGGCAUUAGCAAGCAAUCCAGACAUAAAUAUCUGCCGAGCCAGCCGGCAAUCCAGACAUAAAUAAGGAGAAUUGAUAUCUGCCGAGCCAGCCGGUAAGAAAGCUAACCGAAAUAAGGUAACAGAAGGAUUCUGCUAGUCUAUGAAUAGAGAAACAAUCAGUCUGUGAUAAGCAUAGCAUCAGAUAGCUGAAAGAAGUUGCUAGUUCUGUAAGCCUAUUACGAUCAGCAGUAGCCGAACGAACUGGAUGCUAAUCAGUCAGAUCAGAUAGGAAAAGCCUUUGGCAUCUAAGCUGGCUCACGGUGGAUAGCUAGGCAUGUAAGGUAUAUUCUUCUCUUGACUAUGCCAAUCCUAUCCUUUACCAACAAGCAGGCUACCGAUAUAGCUGUGGAUUGAUAUAGAGAGUAUACUGUGCCAAGCCUAGAAAGUCAUAAUUUCUGAAUGGGAACUUACAUACAAAAAGAAUGGAACAGUAGACAACCUUGGUGUAAAAGUGGAACAUGCGAGAAAUGACGUACCCCACUUAAGCUUGAAGAUCCUAAUCCUACUGCUCGAACAGUAACUCCACGAAACGACUUUCCAAGAACUGCUUCCACAGCGUAUUCUUUUGGGCUUCAGAUCUUGAGACUUCCAAAAUACAGAUAAAGAUUCAUAAUUAAUGGAAUAUUGGACUUGGGCGUGUUAGGAAGUUAAGCAAGAACAAGUAAUGGCGUUCCAUACACGUAAGCACCCGAACAAGCUUAUUUCUACGAACAAGAGCUACGGUCGACCACUACAAGGGGCUUCAGAGCAUAAGGGCACAUAAAGUAUACCUUUUAGCAUCGCGGGGAAACUCCUCUCUAUCAUGUGGGAAUCCUCAUUGAAACUUGGAAACGGUACUUCUGAUGCAUUUCACCCUAACAUAUGACCUGUUCCCUUGCGCAACGGGUAGAUCCUCGUGUAAUGAGUGGGCAGUAGAGAAAAUACAUCCCACAAUAUAUUCUGACUUAAUAAGAGCACUUGGGAUAAAGUGACGUAAAUCCACUAUUCCCUUUGCUUUUGACGAACUCUACUUAGAGCUAGAGCACCGAACCUCUCUCGUAGACAUCAAGCCAAUAACCGUACAAAACGGAACUUCCCGAUCCAGAUCCUAAUUAUGCUUCAAAGCCCGGAUGAAGAAGGGACGUUGCUUGGUGGACUUGCUUAUUACUGUUAUUAACUCCUAAUGUUAUUGUCCCCUUUCUCUUCUGACCCGUGCCCCGACCUCCACUUUCCGUUUAGAAAUGUCCACUCUUGCGCCAACAGCUUUCCCUCCACUUUCCGUUUAGAAACGUCCACUCUUGCGCCAACAGCUUUCCUUCCAGUUUCAGAUCAGUCUUCUUGAGCACCAGGUCCGGUAUGGAAAUAAGUCAAGUAUCGAACAGUCCAUUCCCUUUUUCAACAACAUUAUUUCCUUGCCUUGCCGGAAACUCCAAAUCGAAGUGUCCCGAGUAGUAGGUCCAGUCAAAACAUUAACAUUAAGGGUCUUGAAUUGCACUUUCGCCAACAAAGGCGGAUACAGAUUCAAUAAGGGAUGAAACGAAAACUCCACUUGAUGAUUCUUCACCGACAACAAAGGGAAAGCCCAGAACUGCACCAGAAGCUUACGUAGUUAUGUACUCGAAAGUGGAAGAAUGAUUUGUUGCUUCAGCGAUAAGGGACUGAGUGAGAAUACUAGUAAGUCCCCUGGGGUGCCUCUAACUCUACUCUUGGAAAGUAUUCAACUCUAUUCUGAAACUCUUACUUGCGAGUGGAAUUCUUUACUCCGAUAGUUUCAUUGUUUAUUUCGAGUGGAAUUCUCACUUUUCUAUAAGAGCACUAGGGGAGUCGUUCAAUUCUCACCUUAGAGUGGAGAGCACAUGGUUUGUUAUACCCAUCUCUAUUAUCCCUAGGCGGGGAACAAGGAAGUUAUUACAAUCUCUUUGACUUAUUAUUCUUAUUCUCUAUACGGGCGCAAAGGGAGCUUCCUUGCCUAUAAGAUAUUCUGUUCUUCACCCCUAGCUAUAGCUUCUUAUCUUUCAAGAGCUUCUUAAUACGGUUUAUUACUUACUUCUUUUCUUCUUAACACCGCUGAUCCAUUCUCGUAAACUACACUCGCUCGCACUGCUUAUUCUUAUGCUUGAGAUCUUUAUUACCUUGCUGGUUAUUUAGCCGAUUCCCUAGCUUCUGGUGUUGGCGAAAGUCCUGUUUGGGGGUUAUAAAAGUAGAGUUAAGGUCGGAUUAAAGUACUGGUUCUUAUGCUUGUGUUUAAGGCUGUAACUCCUUUCCUUGGACUUAAGUGGAUAAAGCUGUUCCUGUGAAAGUGGAAUCCGCCUCUGUUGCUUGUGUUACUAAGUAUUCAAUAGAAGAAGUGUAAGUAGGUUAAAGUGUUGCAGUAGAAGGAGCUCGAUUGGCACUCUCAUCUUAAGAUUCAAUAAAUGAUUUAUUUGACUUCAGACUCAACACCAACUCUCUUGACUGUGCCGGUUAGAAAUAGAUUUCCAUUGAAGCGGUUCAAUUCAAUGAUUAACUGAAACAAACUAGAGUGAAGCGAAGGAAAGAGGACAAGACAAGUCACUACUUUAAGCGGUAGGAGCGGAUGAGUUUAGCUAAAGGGAGCUUGGAGACAAGCACUUAUUAACGCAGCUUCGCGAGUGGAAUCCGUUUGUCCACUUUCAUCCUAUAUCAAUGGAAUUUCUAAGGCUAUUUCGGGAGCUGCACCAGCCAUUACUUGUUUUGUUCUGGCGCUGUUCAACAGUUGGGCGAGUAAGGCCAGUCAAUCCUGAAUUUAUGAAUCUCACUGACUUAAUGAAGUAAACAAACAGAGCAUUGCUUCCAAACUACUCCUAACAUGAAGGGGCUAACUCACUUAAGAAAAGGGCUUGUUCACGAAUAGCUUGUUCUCGAACGGGGCACUUUAUAGGUAGGGGGGAAGUCUGGAAUAUAAGACCCCCAGCCAGAUCUGCCUUAUCGAACAUCUAAUACUUACGCCAAAUAUUCUAUUGCAUGUGAGGGCUUGUUUUCAAUUGAAUAAGAAUCUCCUUUUGAGGAAGAGAAGGAGGGCUGGUAUUUCAUUAUCAGAGGACUAGUCGUUAGAGCUAGUAAUGAAGAUGGCAUGAAGAUCGGCAUAUUACUAUUACUCUUAUAGACGAGAGCAUCUAGAGCAAUGGAUCGAGUAACUCCGCUCCGGAUCAACUGCCUAACGCGCAUAAACGAAGCUCGCCCCCUGUACUGUAUGUAUUUCUGUUAGUCACUCCCUCCCGCUAAAGCUAAAGCAGAAGAUGCGGCUUAGCCAGCAGCACUCUUUGAUCGAACCUUCUGUUGUAAGAAGAAGGCCUUUGCCUGGUCAAGAGAAAGAAGCUAUAAGUGACUUAGAGGCCUCAGGUAAUAAUAGAGUCCAGUCCGUAGGAAGGUAAUGCAGCUAAGCCGAGACUAGCUUGCUUCUGAGGCAUUGCAUACUUUUCAAACCAUUAUUAUAUGCUAUUAUAUGACGAUAUGAUCUUUUCUCUUGUUCAGAAGUGACGUUUGCUGCUAUCUACGACAAGAGUUAAGGAAUUGAUAGGGAAUCCGGUCUUAGUUUGAAAGAAGAAAGAACAGCAGCUCCAUUUUAGAUUCAAUCUGGCAAUAACUCUAGGUUCUUCACCAGUUUGGAUUGAGCUUUCACUCUUUCAAGGUAGAGCGAGAGAGAAGGAUGACUUCGACGAGCGAGAGAGAAGGAUGACUUCGACCGGGCCUGCCACUCACUCCACCGGAACCAGUAUGCUUCAUAAUACUGACCCAAUCUCGAUUUGGAAGUCGAGACAUCACAACUCCUGUGGCCUGCGAACUCUCUUGCAAUCCUACUUUUACUCUACGGCUGAUAUGGUAGGGUAGAAAUGGUUUGACAUCAAAGUCUGGAUGUAGUUUGGUGAAACCCGGCAGAUGAAGAAGCCCUAACGAAAGCAGGGAUCAUCUUUGAGAAGUAAGCUAUCUCUUGCCCUCUUUACCGAUUUGCAUCCUUACCUUACGAAAAAUGGAUGACUUAUAUGGAGCGAUGGAAGAGUAGAGGACCUCCUUGAGAUGGGGAGAUGCUUUUACCAAUGAAAGGAAUUAGCUCCUGGAAGGCCAUAGCAAGAGAGAUAGCGUUGGUUUCCGACUUAGUGAGAGAAGUAGGUAGUAUCAAGCAACAGGCAACCGAGGGUUGUUGAAGAACCCGAGUGUAUCAAUGGAAUGAUUGAGCGUUACGGGUACUCGGGAGUUAAGGACAGGCUUGACUAAAGUCCCCUCACUGGUAAAGAUAUUAGUAAGUGCCUUUCUACCAACCCUUUGGAAAAAGAAGCAAGCCCUCAUUCAAUUGAAAGACUUCCACCCUGAACAAAGAAAGACAUAAAGAGCAGAGCUCUCAGGACGCAAGGCUUUGUAGGUAAGGCGAUCCCCUCAAGUAUAACAGAGCACCUGCGAGCUACUGGACAGGAGCGAUCCAUAAGAAUAGCCUCGAAUAGCCCUAACCUCAUCUCGCCUUCCACCGCACCAGCAAGAGGAAACCGAAUGAGAGCAGACAGAAGACUAAUGCCAUCCGAGCAGAACCAGAAACUUGGACGCCGCCCAACAAGCACACCGGUUACUGAUGAAAGACCGUCUUAAAAGACUAGGAGCUGAUUCUAACAAAGAGAAAGACAAAAGUAGCUUGGCCCCCUUUUAGAUUCUUCACCGACGAAACUGUCAACCGAACUCAAACUUUCCUUUAGCGUAGUGCAAUCCAUUCCUCAUAUUAAUUGGACUCUCUAACAGAGCAUCUAAAUAGAAGUUCUUCUUAUUACCAGAGUAUCUAUAUCCACAACAUCCUUAUCUUAUAUUAUUGCUGACAUUGCUUACUGCUGGAACAACACUUUCUGAAUCGCUCGUUGCCAACACACAGAUGAAACUCUCCUUGAUGGCCCGAUAAGUCCCCGAUACUGAAGCAUCAAAAAGAAAGGUGCUGAAAGCCUUCUUAGAUUUGGAGAAGUGCCGAUUUUCAAGAACGUGAAUCUUAUGAUAUGUAUGGGGAAUCUCUUAUGAUAAUCAUCCACGCCUUCCACUUAUUUUGAUGCCGGAAAGUUGGAUAGGUUGGCCCCUACGUAAGGACUACUAUAUUACUCCCCCUAUUUCUCUAUGAAAUACAAGAUUGGAUUGGAUUUGUACAGUGUGUAGGAGGUACAUUCUUUCUAUUGCUAUCCUUUCACUCCUCUCGACUCUACUUGAGAAGUGUUUUUCACUUAUAUGUUCUGUAUGAAUUAUAGAUAUCUUACAUAAGAGACGGAUUCUUCUUUUUGACUAAAGCACAGUAAGAAGAAACAUGAAAGAAAAAGAGAGAGACGGGAGCAUAAUAGAACUUUGUUCUUGCUUGACCAUUACCUUCCAUACAUAUAUUUUGACCAAUAAAUAGGAGGAGGUGUAUAUAGUUAGACAGAUAGAUGAGUAAAUACGUAUGAAUACUCAAAAUACUAUUAACGCCCGGCCUGAUCCAUCUCGAUUCAUUUGUAUGAUCAUAUCUAUCCGAUACAUUAUUUACGUAUCAGGAACAUGAUUGGGACUGGUAACACGAGAUGAGAGAAGUAUUUUCCUCCGAUCUACCAACUGAGCCGACCAUUUACCGUGCAUAAUCCUAGUAUAGUACUCUAAUCUAUGUCAAUUAAUGGGACUAAACAAACAAAGUAGUAAAAGGGACUAAACAAACAAAGUAGUAAUAAAUGACACUAGUAAGUGUAAGGAUAAUGAUAUGGACUGUGAAUGAUUCAAUAAUAGAGAUUCUUUGCCCAUAUAUGUUCAUUUGUACAGGUUCUAUCCAAAUUGGGAUAAGAUCAUGAUUGAAGUUCGGAUCCUUUUGUGAAAGAGUAGAGUGAAUGAGAAAGAUAGUGCAGUUUGAACUAAACCACUGAUGCAAAAUAUGGAGUAUAAUAACUUUGGAAGUCAGCUUUAUUGGGAAUAGAGUAGGCUUUAUUGGGAAUAGAGUGACUUGAAACCCUAACAUUUUGAAAGUCGAUGACAGACUAACUGCUGGAAGGAAAGGGUAGUUUCAUUUAGAUUCACUAUUUAUUUGAUAAGAGAAUGGCUUCCAAUUCGGAACUGAAACUGGAGUUCUUGUGCGAGUGUUGUCAAGCGACGACUCCUCUUUUCUUGGUUGCCAUAACAAUAGAGUAUUUUCAAACAAGGGAAGAAAUAGAAUCAGCAGCACCGAGAUCAGAUGCAGUUUCCAGGGGUAAAGUUCCUGCUCUCCGUCUCUGCUUGAGUUUCCGAACACAGGACUUGUUUCUAACUAGAGAAGAAAGGAACGAAAACAGGCGAACGAACAAAGAAGGCUUUCCCCUAGGUCGUUAUGUCUAUUCUAUGGAACGGAGCUACUCGUAGGAAAGAAAGACGUAGAGAGCCUAUGAGUAUAUGAAUGGAUUAGGAGGAUUGGGAUAUCUAAGAAAUGCGGAAAUCAAUCCUGAAGAGUCAAUAUCUGUUUCACGCAAACACCGAACUCCGACUCUUUAGAAGAAUUGUUGAGGCAUGCCAUAUACCAGCUGCAUUGCAUUAUGGACCGGCAUCCAGUCCAGUACCUGACCUUAAUCAUCUACAUAAGAGCAUAUCGGCGCCUAAACCCUAAACUAUACCAAUCGGACCCAACAUCCAUCAUAUUCGAUCCCUGCACCAAACAAACCAUAUCUUAUUGACUUUGCAAUCGUCCCCAACACAUUUCUACUUAUAUCUACCACCUAUCUAUCUAUAUAUCUAAUAGAGAAACAGGUACUACCUACCUAUAUAUCUAAUAGAGAAACAGGUCUCAACCUUCUUGUUUACUCGAUCGACUAACUGGUCUCAUCUCAACCUUCUUGUUUACUCGAUCGACCUAUAGCCAUAGGCACCUUAAAUGGAAAAUGGCAUUAUGGGACCUUAACAUAGAAAAUAGCAUUAUUUACCCAAACCCUAUACUAUCAAAAGGGGGAGGCACCCCAAGAGACUUGCUUAUUCCAUUCCAUUCCCUUACCUGCCAAGUCUGAUUGUCAAGAGUCGUACGAGUGUCUGAGGGCAAGGAAUAGUAUUCAAAAAGGAAAAGAAUGUACCCAUUGGCAUGAUAACCAAUCGCAUACCCAGAAGUCUGAUGAUGCCCGGACCCUUGCAAGAGAGAUUGAUGCGAAUGAGAUUGAAAACCUGAUUGGGCGAUAUCCUCUAAGAAAGAAUCAUUGCGACUCAUUUAUAGUGUUGUUUACAAAGAAGAUUGAAACUAUAAGAGAUACAACGGGAAGCAGCUAAAACCUUAAGGAUCCUGAUAGUUGUAAUAUUAAAGCAGUAUAGUUGUGUGUAUAAAGCUGNNNNNNNNNNNNNNNNNNNNNNNNNNNNNNNNNNNNNNNNNNNNNNNNNNNNNNNNNNNNNNNNNNNNNNNNNNNNNNNNNNNNNNNNNNNNNNNNNNNNNNNNNNNNNNNNNNNNNNNNNNNNNNNNNNNNNNNNNNNNNNNNNNNNNNNNNNNNNNNNNNNNNNNNNNNNNNNNNNNNNNNNNNNNNNNNNNNNNNNNNNNNNNNNNNNNNNNNNNNNNNNNNNNNNNNNNNNNNNNNNNNNNNNNNNNNNNNNNNNNNNNNCGAGAAAGAGAUAUCCAUAAUGGAAGCCCCAGAUAACAUAUGUGAAGACCCAGAGUGCAUCAAACAAAGAAAGGAAUAGGCGAACUUGGUUUGCGGCUUGCUUGGCAAAAAUAUAUAUAGUAGAGGGGUGAAGGAGCUCGGCGGGAAUAAGCUUAGUGCCGGUAGUGCAAUACUACUUUCAAUUACAGAAUCUGAUGAUGAAGAAUAAAAGACUCUAAAAGAAACUGACUCAUAUAGAAUGCAUGUAAGCAAACUGCUUCCUAAAAGCGACUUACUUAUAUAGAAAUGAGGUAACCAAAGAGCUUAUUAAAAGCAAUGCUGUGUUGGCGCAAUAUUGCAUAUGUUAUUUAGAAAAGCAUAGAGAACUGUGAGUUACUGUAGUGAGGUUACAGUUACUAUUGCGCAAGUAUAGUGCUUUUGGUGCCUCGUGCCUCUGUCCUUAGAUUCUAUGGUGAGGGCAGCCUCAAUUCGUUCUUCUUGUUCUUUCGCUCUCUUAUGAAUUAUAUACUAGUGGUUCUUAAUACUCCUAUCAACAAGCAAGGUAAGCGCGUGAGCUUAUUGUUGUUUAGAGUUAGGUUUACUCAGUUCCAUAAGAAGUAGCACUCAAUUAGAUUCUUAUUCCAGUGUUGGGUUGGUGACUUCUUUCUAUACUGUGACAGUGCUAGCUAAAUUCAAAGCAAUGGAACAAGCAAACAAGCAUCGUUCCUAAGUGCUAACGCUUAUCUCUGGGGGUCGGGAUAGCUUCACACUGGCCCAACUGUCCCUAUAGCUAGGUUAAUGCUUGACUUUGUAGCCUGUUUUUCGACCCCUAGAAACCCCUAACGAUAGAAGACUGGAAUUCACAUUACUUGUUCAACCCACUAACGGCACUUUGGGCGAGAUCCACUAGACAAGACAGCGCUACCAACCCAACCUGACUUGAUACUUAAGCGAGCAGAGCUUCUGGAUACGAGAUUAUUACUACAGCAAACUUUCCACUCCACUACUUUGAGCUACACCCUCACAGAAUAAGUAAUAAGUGACACCUCAUAAGUAAUAAGUGCAAGAUUCCAUGAGUAUAUUGAAACUACUUCUCUUAUUUGACUUGAAUCACUCACUUUCCCCUCAUCUCCUUGCUUUCUCUCAAGAAUAGAAUCCGAACCCCCGAUUCGAUUGCUUGUUUGAGUUCUACCACAAUAGCUGCUUUCAAGGAAUGCAAUCCUUAGAUGGUAUGGCAUAGCGAAAAGUUUACACCUUCAUUAUUCUAGGUAAGAAAAUCCCCUUUAGCCUACUCUACUUUUACAUAGCAAACUAGUUGGUGUACUCCCCCUCGACGCGCUGACCCGAUGUAAGUCAAUCCUUUUGUCUCACAGAUCCAUCUUCUUUCUUUCUUAGAGCAUUAUUGAAACCAUUUGAACCUAGUCGCGUGGAAGGAGCCAGAUUACAGAUACUUUCUAUUCUCUCGACGUCUUGACCCAUACAUAGUCUGCUAAUCGAUCAACGUCUUUGAUCCUUACAAGCUUGGAUAGGACAAUAUCUCUCUGUUGUUUGUUACAUAACACUGAAUUUGUUCGUUCUUAUUACUAUGAUUCUUUCUAUUCUUAUUUCUUACUCAUUUUGCUUUAUUAUUUAUGCUGGUUUAACCUCUUCUUAUUAAUUUGUAUAUGAAUACUAGAUGAAUACUAGAUGAAUACACUGUGCCCCCGACUCUGAAAUAAGCCCUCGAGGCAAGGCGCAAAGGAAGAGAUGCUCUUCUUUGGUCUUGAACUAGCUCUCCCCGCUCGAGAGUUCAUGUUGGCGAUUCACUUAAUGAAUAGGUCCUUUGACGAUUCCCUAGCAGUGCCUGUUUGGUACCGAGCUCUUUUACGUCUUUAUUCCUUCACGCGCUAAAAUCCAAUGGGCACGAUCUGCUAAAAAGCCUUGUUUAGUUGGGUCUACAGUUUCAGUGGGUACUCACCUGCAACAUAAGUUGGGCAAAACAAACCUAGGUUCAUUCCACUUUCCACUGGACGAAGGAAAGAAAGAGAUAGAAUACAACGGGUUUUCAGACGUAUAGAGAAUUACACGAGAAUCUAGCCUUGGUCCUCUCUUUCUUUGAUAGGGCACAUAAACCAAUAUCUAAUGUGAAAAGGUUAUUGCUUAUCCCGGAAUAAAUGACAUUGAGACAGAUCCAAGUUACUGCUCAAAAGAAAAAGCGGUAGUAGCCGGGCACCGGUAGCCCCAGCCCGUAUAUAACAGUAUCAGAAAGCUAGCACUCUUUGAUUGCGGGGAAUUUCCUCGAGUCGGGUUCGAUGCCACAAUUAUCAGAUGUGUUCAAUAGUGGUUUUUCAAUUCUUAUAAUUCACUUAGAUAGUGCUUUUGACAUUAUUCUAAUUCACUCUUUCAAAGGUAAUGAAAAGGUGUGUUUCGAAAUUCUUAUAAUUCCAUCUUUCAAAGGUAAUGAAAAGGUGUGUUUCGAAAUUCUUAUAAUUCCAUCUUUCAAAGGUAAGGUAAGAAAAUCCAAUGGUUUUGAUUCAGUAUAUUGAAAUGUUACCCACGCCCGGUUAUCCACUUUCAUUAAAACCAACAUGCCAAGCUUCCUUCUUCGCUCAAGUCUCAGUGCCAAAGUAAGGAAAAGCAAAGACGCCAAGGCUCAAGACCAAAUAAGCCCUACUUUUUCCUAACCUUCGGAGAGAAAGAAAGUAUUCGUUAUCACGCCUUUUCGUAGUAAGCCAAGAGUGAGUAAGUGCUUCAGCAGACUUGUCUUGGAAAGUACCAGGAACAAGUGCUUUAUAGAGUCAAUAAGGAUGUUCUAUAAUUCUUUCGCAAUGAAGCAGCGCCUCUUCAUUGUCUCUCGUUACAGGGUUGGAUGCAUAUUUGACUCUAUGGUUAGGUUCCUUGGUCUAGCCCGCAGAUCGCUUGUCGGGCGCUUUCGGGGGCUACAUCUUCACUUGCGAUCUUCCUUUUUCUCUUUUCCAAGUUCAAAAGAACAAGUAUCUUGUGUUAUAGCCAACGAUUUACCCCCUAUAGAGAGGUUAUACUUCCUAUUUCUCUAUUAGGCUGCUACUCUUAAAUGCAUGUCAAGGAAUGAAACUGUAUGAUAUACGAUCGCAGAGCUCCUUGAGUCGACUAUAAGACUGUAGCAGAGCCUCCUUGAGUCAACUAUAAGACUGUAGCAGAGCCUCCUUGAGUCAACUGUCCGUUUGAUAUACGAUCGCGGAGCUCCUUUAGUCUUAGCUGCCUCUUUUACUGCGAUUUGAAUACUUACUAAUUAGAACAUAGCUUUUGCAUGAAGUAGCUCUCACUCGAUGAAACAUAAAGGGCAGCGGAACAGUGAAAGAACUAUAGGGUUCUAUGGCUUUCUAUCCUGGAUCCGGGGAGCGACUCCCAUAUGUAUGUUCCUUUCGACCUUAAAGCCGAUUGGGACAUGGCUCCUUGCUCGCAUUUCUUUUCUAGUCGGGGUCUUUGUUCGACCUGCACGCCCGCUUUCCUAAAUAGCAUGAAAGGUUCUUCAAUGGUUUGGUCAAGAGGGGGAAUUUCCCAAGGAGAAAGGGUCCUUAUCUCAGGAGACUGAUCGGCGGAGUAAUUUGAUCAUCUCUGUACCGACUUCUACAUCACAAUGACUUUCUAAAGCUUAUGCCCUCUAUUUUCUUGAUUCUUUUCUUUCUUAAACAGCCUUAUAUUCUUUUUCUAGAAGUAAAGCGGACUAGCCAAAGCUUCUGGAAUCACCAACUCUAGCUCGUCCUUUUGGUCCUUUUCUGAUCCUAAACAAGAACGGGCCUACUUUGAGCUCAGCUCCAGGCACCGAUGCCGAUACAAGACACAACCGCUGCAGUUCGACUAAGAGCAUGGUUCCUCCUCCUAACUAAAUAGAUUGGAAGUUAUUAGCUUCAUAUCCCGGUGUUACAAACUUCUUAUUAAUGUCUUUCACGCUCUAAUGGAAGUUUUGUUAGUUUGAGCCAUUGUUGCGAAUGAGAUAGCUUGAACCUAUGUCUCCUAGAUAAUUUACAAUUCUGAAGCUCGUGGAUCCCUCUUUCGUUAUUCCCCCUUGGAUUCUUAGAUUUCUCGUAUACCUUUUUCUCCCUCUGAAAUCUGCACAAUUUCCGCCUUUUGCAUUUCUGGAUGAGAAUCCCACAUCUUUGAAACUAGCCCCACCGUCCCAUCCCCUUGAAUCGGGCGUAAAAGAUUCUAUUGAUGGUGGAAUCGUUCACUCCUCGGUAGAGCCAAGCCUGAGAAAAUCGAAUUAAUAAAGAAGGCGUUAGAAAGGAAGGACGAGGACUCUUGCUUGUCCUGCCAUGCCAUUCAUUCCUACAUAGGGCCUUUGCUUUCAUUGAUUCCUUCUCCCAUCUAUGCGACCACUUCCUUCUCCCAUCUAUGCGACCACAAGUAUCAAUCCAUCUCCAAUUCACGGGAUACCUAUGAGCCGUAGAGCCUACUACCCCAACGCCUUUGCACUUGGAUUUGUAGCUCCGCACUGCAUUUAUCUAUGCAAUGCCACUUUCGCAUUACCUUUUUCCUACUGCUACUCUUCUUAUACCGGCGAAGUUCUUUUGAGCCCCUGGCGAUCGAUUCUAUGAUAUUCCCCCACUUAUGAACGACGCAAAACCAAACCCUUUUUGAUGCCGUAGCUGCAGCUGCCUGCCACCUGCCGAUACUCUUUUCUUGUGACUCGCCUGCCCUCUAUCUCUUUUCCAUGAAUGAAUGACAUUGGGACAGAUCCCUCAAAAGAAAGCUGUAAGGUUGGUUUAAGGAAUAGAACAUCAAAUUGCGGCGUUAAGUACAAUAGUAAGCUCAGCACUGAUACUUACUUACUUAUUAGUGUUAGUAGAGAGCCUUUCAUUAAAGUAUAAGGAGACACAAAGAGAGGUCUUUCAAGGCGGUAUAAUCAUUUUGAUAGGUCUUCAUCAAGUCGGUAGAAUCAUUUGAAUCGUUGUAAGGGAAUGCCUUAGUCAAUCAACUCACUGCCAUUGACCAGGGGAGGGGGUGGGUGGCGAACAAGACUUGCUCGGCAACAGCUGAAAUAGAGGAAUAAGCACAUAGGUCUUGAAGAAGCGGGUCUAUCGAUGAUAGCUUUUUCCAUGUAACGUUGACUUUACCCAGGAUGCGCUUAUCGCAGAACGCCCUAUUGCAGAGCCCAUUAACUUACUCAAAAGAUCAGUAUAGGAAGUUGUUUAGGAAUAUGUCAAAAGGGACGUAUAGGAAGCAGUUUAGUAAUAUAGGAAGCAGUUUAGUAAUAUUCAAUUGUCAAGACCGCUGAGCCCUCCACUGUUAAAGAAAUUCGAUUAGUGCAGUAGGUAACCCAGCCCCUAAGGGUAGUACGGGCCGGCCUUAUACCAAGCAUUUCACUUCACCUAUGCCUAAACAAUGCAAGUAAUCGAAAACAAUGCAAGUAAUCGAAGCGUACCAUGAAAAGCAGAUCGAGAUAGACGAUUCAUAUAAUUGCUUGAGUCACUGAUUCUCAUUGCUUGAGUCACUGAUUCUCUCAGUUUGAACUAAUUACUCAUCUCAAAAGUAAUGUAGAGUUACUCAUCCAAAAAGUAAUGUAGAGAUAUCAUAGGGUAAAAGCUGCACUGCCUUGCGGCCCGCUUUUCAACAAGAAAAAGAACAUUCGACUGAGCUAUCGAGUAAGUAAAGUCGCAGCCUUUAGAGCUGGGUGCCGGGGCUAAGAUGAACCUCCACUCAACCCUCAACCUAGACAUAUAAUUCCUAACUCUUUAGUGGAUGAUUUGAUUGGAAUUACUAGCUCCUUAAUGGAUUUCAUUGAUUCUUUUUUAAGAGCUACCGACCCCAAGAAAAGAGUAUGUUACAUUUCCAACUGGCGGUCUACGUGAUUGAAGAAAGAGCCAUUAGCCCUUGCCUUCAACCAAAGCGGAUUUUUCGAAUAAAGGAAACACAAUGAUAUAAGCCUGCCCUGCAUAAAUCGUCCUGGCACCAUAAACGUCCUUAGCGCUCGCCCUAACUCCAGCCCGUCUUCCAUUCCCCUCCUUUUUUCAGCCUCGCUUAUGUUUCGCUUCAUUGUAAUAAUGAGAAGUCCAUUGUUGGCUCCUGCGCCAUAGCACCACACGCAUAGACGCAUAAGGCCUUUUUUCAUUAUAGAUUCAAGCUGACAACGCUUUCUCUUACUUAGGGAAGCAGAAGCUGCGGGUCGUCGUGUUCGUAAACGCAUCCAAAAUGGUGAAAGUUUCAUCCGAGGCAGAAGCUAACGAAAGACAGCGAGCGAAACGAGGGCGGGUGAAGGAACCGGGGAGAGUCAAUGAAUCCUACCUAUAACUUAAGAGCGGCAAAGAACACUUUGAUUCUAUAUGCCAUUAGUUGAAGCUGUCGUAUACAGUAAAAAGAGAAAAACCUUGCGCCAGCCUUAAGUAUGUAAUUAUGUAAUGCUAAUGAUUCGUAUACUAGGCGUGGUCUGAGUAUAUUCUAUCGACGGAAAGCGUCUAUCGCAGUGCAAAUCAUGUGAGUACCUUACCACCAACCAGAAAAAGUUCCUGCUCGUAAGGCUGGAUUCAAGCCAUGAUUCCAAAUCCGGGGUAGUGGGUCUCCGCCCGUGUGGAGUGUUUGGGAUAGCUGGGUCUAUAUAUGGGUAGAUAUACUAAGAUCUAUAAAGAACAAAUGGGAAAUGAAAACCGACGAAAUACGAUUACGGGCUAAGGAUAGGACCAGUCCGCUGGUCGAUAGGCCAAUAGGAACAAAAUAGGUAUGGCGCCCUAUCUUUCAAGCUUUCAAGGAAGUCGUCUUAUCAAGUUACCCAAUAGAAGGAAGGCUGAAAAACCGGAUCUAUGACUUCACCCUCCCUUGAAGCGCUUCUGGGCUGUUCACUGGAAGCUAGACCUAACAACUAGACGACCACCUGAUCGUAGACCAUCCACCAAAGCCUUUGUUUUUGAUUCUAUUUCUUAUGCAGGGCGUGCUAGCGGGAAGUCCGGUUAUGAACACCCUCCAUCAACCAUCGUAUCCAUUUUCUAUUAGGUGGGUCGGGUCAUAUUAGAUUAUAGUAAGUACAUUUAUUUGCUCCUUGUUAAAACUCAUAAUCGAAUCUCCUUCUUCUAGGCAACCAGGCUUACUCGUAAGAAAGGUAGAGAAUAGAGUGGACUGGGCUUGUUAAAAGAAGUAUGAGUUUACAGUGAAAUCAGUAGUAGUUGCCCUUACAUUAAGUCGGCCUAGCCAGUAGUAUACGAGAGGGGAGCAUUAGAUAGUAGCAAGAGGGAGUUCAGUCUGCUACUGACACUCAACAGGGAGCUGGCUUUCAGCACCUCACUUUUUCACUGUAACUGGGCAUUCAUUCCACUUUAACUUGACCCGGACUAAGGGUUCAGGAAGGAUCUUAUUAGCAGAAUUCAAUGAAUUUCACCCUGCUUGCGUCAUCUGAAAGAAAAGAAGGGGUAUGGGUCUUUGAGGCUGAGGGCUGUCCAAUUAUAGAGUUUACUCAUAUUGGAAUUAGAGAGUUUACUCAUAUUGGGAAGCUAGGAAUAUAGGAAUAAGAUAUAGUAAUAAGGGAAGCUAGGAAUAUAGGAAUAAGGGAAGCUAUGAAAGGCAACUACUAGACUCGCUAACCACUUCUAUUUCCUCUCCUGGUAGUACUGUUAGAGUUAGAGUUUCAGACCAGUUAGUAGAUACCUUAUUCUUAUUCUAGGUAUUGUUGACAGAGCAAGAGGUGAAGUAGUCGUCAGCAGCAAACGAUAAGGGAGUUGUUGCCGGGUAGCAAGUAUACGAGUAGUUGGCUCUUUGAACACAAGUCCUGAAUUCACCUAUAUUAGAGAUGAGUGAAACUAGUAUAUGUACCUUCUUUGGCGCAAGUAGUAGAGUAGUUGGCUCUUUCCAAUUAAUUGAACCCUGCUGGCUCUGCUGGGCGAGUGGAAUCUUUUAUCCUUUCUAAAGAUAGAAGAAAUAAAGAAAGAAAUCCAGUGGUCAUGUUUUUCACUGUGAAACCAACCCUGGAGUAGUUGCUAAUGACAAAUUCUCCGAAGUAACAAUAUUAGAAACCAUUGCUUGUCUCCGGGUCUAAAGUCUCAGUAACACCUGAUUUAGAGUAUUAGGCUUUCCCCCCUGAACCAUCUUUUGAGUCCUUUCCUGGAGACUUAACUGCUGAUUCAGAACAAACACCUUACUGACGCAACUAAGUACUAAACUUCUUGGCCCUAUCCACUUUCCGGAUCCCAGUAUCUGUCUGAUAUUGUCGCCCUUUCUUUUCCACUGUUGAUUCUCUCGGCACCAACACACGAACCCGGCUCCUGCUGCCCUGGCUUUCUUUCUCACUUUCCAGAUAGCUCACCCCUUAUUCAGUGCUUUAAGGCAACAAGCAACUACUCAUGUUGCGCGUUAGCGAGUUAAGGGCUCACUACUUGGAGUCUGAGUCUACCUGGUGUCAUUCUGGUUAGCAGUGAUGGAAUUCUUAAAGUAAGUAUCAGCUCCCCGCUGGCGACUUUCAUUCUUUCACUCCUUAGUUUGAUUCUGAUCUAUUCUGAUCUAGUACCCAAUAGCCAGGGAAUCAGUGGUAUAGUUAACAGACUUCAGGGAAUCAGUGGGAGUGAUUUCAGCCUGUGACUACUUAGUUUGAUCCGUUCACCUAUAUAAAGAGAAUAUAGAAUUUAGUAAGGGCCAAGGCCAAGGCCAAGCAACGGCGCGCCAAGACACUACUAACGUGUCGCGGCAGCGAGUUGAAAGCUGCGCGGCAGCAGCAGCAUAGAUAUGUUAUAACCAAUUAUGACCAAGUCAUGUGUUCGCGUUACGCGGCAGGCGUUCUCCCCACAAUUCUCUCUUUUCUUCUAUGCUUAACACAAGCACCUGAACCGACCUAUAAUAAGUGUUCACCCCGACCCGACCUAUCUUUCCAUUGGCACAACUAAUGCUAUCAGCCAAGUCGCGUAUACAAAUAGAGAGAGGAGCCUCAUCUACUUAUUGCUCCUAUCUUAUUACUUCUAUGCUAUCUCUUAUGAAACAGGACUAGACUACUACUCCACUGGCAAAACAGGACCCCUACGCAGCUAGGCACAAGUUGAUCUAAAGUAAACAAAUCAUUCAUCUACUUCUCCUCUGGCAACUGACACUCGGUCUUCAACUAGCACCGAACCUAUCUCUACCCUUAACAUUAUUGUUUCUAGUUCCAACCAAGGCUAUGGAGGUUUCAACUUCCACUCGGUAUUCCACACUUCGAUUUUCAGAACUGUCAACACCUUACUUUAGAACUGAGCUUGAUUGUUCCCCUGUUGUUACUGUUGCUGAUGGGGAUCUGUCUUCUGUAGUUUGAUUUGAUGGGAAAUCCUUCAUUGGAAACUCAGAAACUUGCCAACGAAGUCAUUUCUGCCUACCAUCUUUAUGGUUCCUUCCCUGAACUAAUUGAACUAGUUGACUUCCCACUACUCUGGUAUUGUAUAAGAAUAGUGGCCCAGCGACUACUAGAUGCGGCAGAUGGGUCAUAUAACUACUGAGUGCAAUUCACCAAGCAACUACAACAAGGCCCGAGCUACUGCUUUUCUUUCCAUGACUACUUAUACGGAUGCUUAGAUUUAGUCUCUCGCUCUUGUCUGUGAGUCUUCCUUGCCUUGCCUAGAUCCCAAGCUAACUCUUAUGGUCUUAUAGCUCUGCCGGGUAUCCUGACUUUAUUAUCUCAUUCCCUGCGGUGUUUCUCCAAUUCCCAUGCACGCUCUAGCUUAAGACCCGGCAGUGACCAUUCCUAUAGGAGUCAUUUCAUUCUUUUACUAAUGAGUCAACUUCUGCAUUCUCAGUGCAAUUCCUUAUUCUUAGUUAUUCCUCUGAUAAGUAAUAGUUGUUUUGUCUUGCUAGGUGCCUAGCCUAGGGUAUAUGAGUGAGUAGAACAGAAUCAGUAUUAGUCCUUAGUUCAAUUCGUAUAAGUAGUAAGUGGGAUUCUUUAACAAACAAGUAAGGAUCAAAGAUGGGAAUAGCAGACCCAAACCUAACUCUCUAAAGGCGGAUUGGGAGUCGAACUACAAAGUUCUUUUUAUCGGACUCAACUCACACUCAAGGCAAUAAGGUUUUAGGCUGCUUAGUUCAUUUAUUCAAUGAAUGUCCUUUAUUCGUACUAUACUAUUUGUCUUAGAGCUUGUAUCCAAGGACAGGGAUCCUUACUUAACUAGAGACUAAUGGCCCAAUGAGAGCCCAGGUCACAGAAUUUCGUUUCUGAACAGAGGAACCUAGUGUUCGAUCGGUUACUACUCUACUACUACUCUCUUCGGGCUUACUACUCAAUAGUUGUAGGCUUACUUCUAACAUGGACUAAUAACUUAUAACUCAUAACUAGUAACAGACUGAAACAACUAUACCCUAGCCUCGCCUAACAAGUAAGUAAGUCAACCUGCCUAGUACAAGUAAGUAAACAAAGAACUUACUAUAAGGGCCUCUCAACUGGACCACUACUUGUCAACUUCAGACUCCCUCGGGAGCUCAACUAAGUAAGUAUAUAGUAGAAAAGGCGCACACAGGACAGAUAUAGUAGUUCCGCUAUUGCUCUUGAAACUAAAGUACUGCUUCCAAACCUGCUCUUCAAACAACUUCUUUAGCGGCAGUCCGGGUUGGGAGUAGCAACACCUACUUCUAUUGAACUAAAUGAAACAAGUGAGUUACAGCCUGUGUUGUGUUCGUAUGCCUCUGCCUCUGCUGCCUAUGCCUUUAGUUAGUAAUUUGUAUGGGGUUCGUCUGCCUCGCCUCUCAAUCUUAUCUAUCUUAUCUUGUUAAAACAAGGGAAAGGGUAAACGAGGUCAUUCAUAUGAGUCCCCUUCAGUUCGAGGUCUGUUAUGAAAGUCUAGUUAUUGCCCCUUUAAGUAGUGCUUCUUCACAAACUACCCGAGCCGCCAAGACACGGAUAGACAAGUUACUACUCAUAGCUUCCCUUUCAGACUACACUAGGGAUAGGGAAGAAACAGAAUCAGGCCAGGGCAGCUAGGGCCAAGUCACUCAGAUAUUAAUUCUCCGAUGUCAACAAAUACUUCCUCUCCUCAGCUACAAGGCCUUAGCAACCUAUCACUUAUUACAAAUAUUCUGCAUUACAAGUUAUUGGAAGGUUAUGACCAAUCCUAGGAAAGAAAUAAGUCACAAUUAUUCAAAAUAAGGGAGCUGACUGAUGGAGAGUCAAAUUGAUAUGAAUGAGUUGCUUUGAUGUUGACUACCAGAAAUUAGUAAAAUAGUUGCCCGAGGUAUUAUAGAAGAUAGUAGCCAAGAUAGUUGCCAGAGGUAGAGGUGUUGCGGGAAGGGGAGGCGUGUAAUAGAAAAAGUCACUAACCCCACAACCCAGUAGGGCUCUUUCUCGAUAGUAGGAAAACCCCGUAGGGCUCUUUCUCGAUAGUAGGAAUUUGCCUCUACAGUAGGAAAGUAACUUCACAGUGUGUUUAAAGCAAUAAAGUUCUAAUUUCACUUUCCGGUAAGAAACAUAAGAUUUAGCUAGGUCUGAUAGCUCAGCAGAUAUAUAACUGAUAGCUCAGCAGAUAUAUAAGUAUUCCGUCGACUAUUAGACUCUAUUCUAGUUCUCUCUCUCGCAUUACUUGAAACAAAGAAUUCCACUCCAAGGGAGGAAACGGAGCCAAGCUACUCAGAGACAAGACUCGGCAAUAAAUGUAUUAUUAAUGAAGUUAUGAGCAAGUCCUUUAUUCUAUUCUGGGCGGUAGGAGCCGAGUUCUGGCGGUAGUGAGUUCCAAGCGUCAGCUACGAAAUAACUUGUUUCAUCCGGUAUUAUCCUUAAGAAAGUUCUAUUGAUUUUCUUAUACAGGGUGUGUACAGUGUCAGUAUAGGAUCAAUUCCAGUCGUUUUUCUUUUGACUAUGGUGAUUCCAACAGUUUUAAGCCCACUCUACAACUCUCUUCUUUUCUUUAGUUCACUACCGGUCAACUCUCUUCUUUCUUAAAGGAAGGAAUGCUAGGUGGUUCGGCAAGAAAAAGCCCAGUGUUAUCUAGCUCUAUCAUACAAUACAUCGCUCUUUACCGCUCGAACAAGAACAGGGCAUUCUCAUUCUUCAGCUCGAACUAUACUAGCAAAACCGGGAAUCAUACUAACUAAUAUCAGAAUAAACCCACAGCCAAUAAGAGGAACGCGGCCUUUGAAUCACUGAUCGCCGGGGUUGCAACAAGCAAAUAGUACCUCCCUAAUAAGAAGGAUCCUGCUCUACUGCCUAACAGCCUUACUAUCUUCACUUUUCGCCUUACUUGAAAGCCUCUGAGCUUCUAUGCCUCUACUCCUUUCCUUAGUUGCAUCCUAUCUAUCCUAUCUAUCAGUCCGCCCCUUGACUCUUUAACCACUGAUUCGGAUCUUUAUUUGAGUGUUUCGAACCACAACAUCCCGGUUUGUUAGCCUGCAACUCAGCUCUCCUAUUCUUAUACCUUGGAGUUAGCUACUGAUCUAAGUCUCGCUUUUGCUAGUUUGUUUGUUAAUCUGCUUGUCGAGUUUCAUUCCUACUAAACAGCCAUAGUACAAGUCAUUCUCCACAGACCCAUAUGAUAGACAAAGACAUCCUCCGUAUCACCGACCCUACAAUGGAAAAACCCUUAUCUCGGUUACCCAAUUGCAUCCGUUAUUGCAGGAUGGAUUCUUUCAUUCCUUAUUCCGUUUCAGUGUCUCUAGUAUGAGAGUAUGGGGCGCACCUACUCGUUCUUGGGCUGCGGAGCUCGAUUCCUACUUCUUAAAACUCAUUCUUUAACAGCAGAGCUUAACUCUUACUUUGCAUCUCUUAAAACGGAAGCUGCUCUCUGCCAUUCUUACUUGCUAGUUUGUGAUUCCCUUGUGUACAUGCCGCUGUUCCUCAUACACCUAUAGCACAUGCGCUACUGCAUUUAAGGUAAGUAGCCUUAUGAUUCUUUAUCGAAAGGGAGAGGCAUAUCAGGACCUUAGUUCACCAAUAAUAAGAGGAAUUAUGUUAACUUCUAAUAAUGAUGUUUACUUGACACCGGCACUAACAAUGAGGAAUGCGCUACUACCCUAUUAGAUCGAGAAACACUACUGGAAGGGAUCUAUUGACAAACAGACUCGAACUACCGCUUUUAAGGCAGCCCUUCCCCCUAUUAGUCUGUAGAGCUCCUGCCCUUGAUUGUUUCCCUCUGGACACUGAUCCUUGAACUAAACCAGUGCUAACAGGGUUCUCACUGCUGUCUCUUAGCCUUGUUUUGAAACUAACUUCCCCCACGCACUCUGACUCUUUGCUUUGAUUCCAAUGCUCUUUGCUUUAAUGCUCGAACUACGGACCCGUAUUCCCUAUCUAAUGAUCCAGAUCUUUUAUCUUAUUAAUAAGUAAUUGGACUAAUAGUAGCAAGACGAUAACUCAAAACUAUGGCAGUGACUGCAGCUUAUAGGGCUGUUACUGCAUGGAAGUUGGUGGUCGUUAGUGAGCGGUAGCUCUAUUCUAGGGGAGUAGUUAAGUGAAGCCUGUUUGCCAUUACAUUAGUUCCAUCCUAAUAGUUAGUAACUCGAUUCUUGUUAUCGAAGAAAGCGGAAUGAAAAUAAGUGUAUUGAGAGUCAAAGAUGGGAAGAGCGGGCUAGUAGGAGGUAGUCACUACGGAAUGAAGUGCAAGAGGUUAGCGAUCAAUCUAGUAGUUAUUAGUUCCGUUCGGUAGCUCGUAGUUUAGUCGAUAGCUCGUAAUUGAGUUCUCAUAUUAUUAGUUAGUUAGGGCCUUGUUAUAUGCAAGUGAAGCCUGUAUUCAUUGUGGAAGAGCUUAGUUUCCCCGGUACCCCGACUGGGAAUGGGAAGCUUUUGAUUCUCACUUUGGAGUCGAAGUCCUAUCAGUGCAAUAUCUGUUCCCUUCUUAGAUACCUAUAAAUACGACAUUCUCCCAUUACUGGCACAGUUUCUUACUUGGUGGUUGACACCUUAACAAAACUAGUGCUCCCGAGACUUAACCUAUUGGCGAACAAUGGUUCCUUUCCUGCCUCCCGAGCCUGUCUUCUAUUCUUUACACGCUAGGUAUCAAACGGACAUUGUGCCCAAGGGCUUUAGGAUCCUCUGCCACAUGUAUCAGCCUACCGUUAUUAACUAGCAAACUUAUAUUACUGCCUUAGAGUCUUAUUACUCGCAACACAGGCUUAGGCGAGUGAGGCAAUCCAUAUUCUUGUAUUAGCUCUUAGGUGACUGUAGGACAUUCCGACUUCUUAGCCCAAUUCUCAGAAAUGAGUUUAUUUACUCAGGGGGCAUUAUUGGAAUCUGAUUUCUAUUACUUUUACUCUGAUUAGCAGUGGUGAAAUCCUUAUAUGAGUAAGUUCAAUCUAUGUGGGCAGUUACUGAUUCUUUCUAUUGGUCUUAUCGCUCUUGUAGCAGAGACCAGCAUCUUGUAGCGUAUGGUAUCUUGUAUUAUUGACUUGUAGUAUUAUUCUCGUUAGUUGAUUUCCUAGCUAUGAGGAACAGUAUUAGAGGUUGUAUUAUUUGUAGAAUGAGAUAGAGCAAAGUAAGAUCUAGGUUCAGUAAAGUGAGACUAACGGCCUAGGUAUAGAUAGUCGGGAAAGGCGGGACGGGGCUAGCUAGCUAACUAGUGGAAUGAAGAAUCAAAGGCAGUAGAUCCAGUUUUCAAGCAAGCAAACCCAAGGUCACAUACCUGUCGAAUCAAACUCAAAUGCAUAAUAAGUGGAAUAGUUUUCAUCUCCAAUAGGGGGGCAGGCAUUAAUAUUCAAAACUCUACAGCUGGGACAUCAUACACAGCUAGAUCCUAUUUGAGUUUAGGAGAUCGAAAGGGCAAAGAGAGCCAACCGGUCAUGGUCAUCAUGGAGAAAAAACCACUACUUUUUCGUUCAAUUGGCCUAUAACAAUCUUCUUAUCACUAAGGGCUCGAACCAUAAGAGACCACUCUGGGUUCAGUUAAAGUCUCUCUUUGGUCACAGCCUACUCGUUUUCGCAAGAUCCACAGGAGAAAGGGGGGUUUAGUUGAUUGGAUCUCGAUGACCUCUCCGAAAAAGGGCAGCUUAAGGAAGAGGCAAAAAGGAGGGCUUCUUCACAAGGCACCGGGACCUAAACUUUUCAAUUGAUGUGGCUGAGAUUAGCCUGAAACAACCUCCAGGUCCGCAAUCCUUUUUAUCUUAGGUUAGACUAAGGGAUGCUGAGGCUCAGGUAUCACAGGCCGUCAUCCAGAAAGUCAUUACUACCCUAAACCCCUUUUACCGUUCAAAAGAAACAGAGUGAGCAGAGAAGUGAUUGCUAAUCCACACAGAAAGGCUUGUUAUUACGAAUCAUGUGCCAAAUGCAAUCAGGCAUUCCAUGAGAAAGAACCAAUUCUCUGAGAAAAAGAACCUUGCUUGCCUUACUAGCUCUCUUGUUAUGAGCAUGUACCACAGGUGGAUUCAGUCCCUUCCUUAUAGCCUUGCAGUCCAAUCUUAUCUACAAUCCUUUUUCUUUAUUCUGGGCAUCAAUCCCAUGUGAGCAAAAAGGGCCAAGUCAUCACCAAAAAGGUAACGGAAACCCGACAAAUGAUAGUCAUGAGGGCCAAGCAACGGGCCAAGCUACUCAUACCGACAAGACUGACCCCGCUAAGUAGGAGUACAACUGCGACUUAUAGUACUGUUGCUACUGAUCCAGAUCCUUUACAAGUUUGGGCACUUUACCUAGUCAUACUUCUUUGGGCACUUUACCUAGUCAUACUUCUUUCUUUGGGCACCUUACCUAGUCAUAUUGGAAUUAAUGUUCUUAUUAUAUGUGAACAGAAUAAGGAAUUGAAGAGACAAGCUACGUAUAGACUCAAAACUCCGUAAUAGAAUCAUGGAUUCCACAAAAGGAAUAGAAGAAUUGGGGAAAAAGCGAACUAAGUAAGAUAAUAUGGGUUCAACCAAAGUAUGUUUCGGGGAACCUCGCAUCAAAGAAAGAAUGGAAUUGACAUGGAAUAAACUAUCUUAUAAGAGAAUAGAAUCGAAUUGGCACUGAGAAAACUAGCUUCUGUUCUUUUAAUGUAUUGAGACUAUCCAUGUUAUAUUGAUACAAGCGAGACCUAUGCUAUUUAGACUAAUAGUACUAGAAACAUAUACUACCAACCGACUCUAUCGGAAUCAAACUCAGAAGUAGGGAUCCUCUUACGCACCUUGUACUUGCCCCUUAUAUGAGAAAACGGAGACCCGCGCUACCUCACCCAUGUGCCUGCGCUACUUACACCUACUAAGCAAGGUACUCAUUCUUCAAGUAACAUCAUAUAUUCUGUGAGCGAUCAUUCAACCACUCAUUCUUCGGUCGACACAACGUUCAUUGGGACAGACAACGUUUAUGUGGUCCAUCACCCAUUAAUAGAGGUUACCUAGGUAAUGAAUUGGUCGGUUGAACCACCUUAGUCGACACCACAUUGAUUCUUCGGUCGACACAACGUUCAUUGGUCGGACUCCCCGGUCAAAUCACUCAGCCUUGUCGUAGCACCAUGAAUUCAGUGAGCUACCUUGCACCCACUCGUUCAGUAAGCGACCAGCAACUCCGUCAACGUGGGUCAUCGCGCCUAAGUCGACAUAACCAACGUGCAUUGGGACAGCGCAUUGGGACAACAUUCAUUGGUUGGUAAACUGAACCACACCGACAUAGAGAACGACAUAGAUAAUUAUAAGCUCUAUUAGGUUUAUUCAAGCUAUAAUAUAGAGAGAACCAUGACUCACUGUCAAUUAGCAUAUAAUAUAGAGAGAACCAUGACUCACUGUCAAUUAGUAGACCAAUCGUGAAAGAAUUGAAUAGCAUUGAGCGUGACACCUAAUAUAGACAGACGUUGCUUGUUCAAUAGUAAUAAAGACGUUUUUCAAUAGCAUUGAGCGUGACACCUAAUAUAUAACUAAGUCAGAAAUCCAACUCUAUUACUGGAAGAUACUCUGAAUAAUAACUUGCGGAUAAUGUGACUUUAAGAUACUCUACUCUGAAUAAUAACUUGCACAUAUAAUGACUGCUUGAGUAGAUGCUAUAUAGAACCAAGGCAAGGCCGGAGGGUGUAUUGAAUCAAAUCUGUUUCGUUGCUUGGUGGACUUGGGACAUAAGAAAGGUGAACUCUGGAACGGAUUCAAUGAAACUAACUCAUAACUCCUAACUCAGGUGCCGGUAUUGGUAUUUCACUCCUAACUAGUCAUUUAUGAUUCUCUCUCUUUCGUUGGUAACACUUCUGAUCCUGCUUAUUGAAUUGAAACACCUGUACUUGUGACUUUCGUAUGCGAGGUGGAUUCUUUGAUUUCGCUGUUGGUUGCCCGUUAGCUUAUUGUUGUGUUCGGGGCUUCUUGAAAAGAUUGUUGCCAUCUAUCAUAAAAGAAAGUAAACUAACUGCAAUUCUUCAGAAGCAGACUAAGGCACAUGAGAGAAUUAAGUGCAAACGAUGAAGAACUAACUUACAGAGCGAAAUCCUCUUAUUCUAUUACUAAGAACCUUGAAACUGCUGGUGCUACUGCUUAUGCUGACUGGCUCGAUACAGCUGCUUCGGAUCUUUAAAUGGCUUCUUCUAUUAGGCCUAAACCUGGCAAUACUUAACGCUUCAGUCAACAACUAAUUCAUUUCACAUUUCACUUCACUGAGGUUCUAUCUAUAUGAGAUUCUAUAUGAUGAUGAAGCCCCUGAACUUGACUUUCCAGAGAUUAGAGAUUGGCUUGUUGGGUAUGAAAGGGGAGCCUAUUGUAACUCCGAACCUAUCCUCUAUCCUUGGUUACUUCUUUCUAUCAUAUAGAGCGAAUUAUACUGCCUAUACUAAUAAGGAUCUUUCCACUCCAGAACUACUUGCUGCUGAAGCUAUUUCUUCUGCUUCAUCUGUUGCUCGUUAGCGCUAAAGAAGGACAUAAUUCAGGUUCCGGGCAAGGGCAAUCAGGCGUAUUUCCAAGUCAAGGCAAGAGGGCAGGGCGGAUUUAGCAUCGUGUUUCACCCACCAAGCCACUACAAAGUCUCCUGUGUUCGUCAACUUGAAGUCAAACAUUGUCAAUCAGCAGGAAAAGAUGUCCUGUUUUCGGGAGCCGAGUUCUAGCGGUAGCAGCGGAAUAACGGGCUUUGAAGCAAAUGAGGUCAAGAGUACCAGAAGCCGAAUGUUAAUCUCUACCUACUGCUGAAGCUAAUGGUGGUUCUAGUUUCAUCAUAUAUAGAAGCCGAAUGCUAAUCUCAUGCUGAGGUAAAGUAUCAAGUCAAGGGGUAGGGCGGACUCUCUAUAUUACAGUUUAAGCGCGUCGUCAAUAAGUUUCGACUUUCUCUUUUUCGUAUUAAUAAGUAGUUACGAUAAAAAGAAGCUAUCAGGAUCAUUAGCCAUAGAGGAAAGAGUUUUCAGAGCAGGUCAAGAAAAAGGCUAAGAAGCGAGAUCUUGCAGCCGGGAAAGUGUUUUCAACAAGAUCUGAAGCUUUAGUAUAGUUGCCUGCGUACUAAGCAAUGCUAGUUUAGAAAGCCUGAGUUCUUAACGGGUAGAUCGAAAGCCUUAGUUCUGAAUAGCAGCUGGGCGCCAGAGAGAAUAAAUGAUGGAGUCUGAUCUUAAGUCUUUUGACUUACUUCCUGCUACACCAUAAUAGCUAAAUGAUUAAAGCAACAGCGAAAGCUGCAAGGCAAGAAAGAGGGGUAUAAAGCAAGUAAGGUAAGAGCAGAGGUCAGCUGUCAAUUCCGUUUAGUUAGCCGUUAAGCUCGUUGUUGUCAAUGUUGCAGUGCUCUGAAAUUCGAUUCUCAAGGUUCACUCUACUUUCAAUUGAAGACCCAUGAGAAAUAGAUGCAAAGCUGUAUCUUUACUGGGAUCCAUACCAUGUGCUGUAAAGUCAUAAUGGAAUUGAACUGACAAAGAAACGAAAACAUACCUGACUGACGACGAUACUGCUUGAGCAUCAACCAAAAGGCUUGGGGCAGUGAGACUUACAAUACAUACAGCACUAGCCCCCGAUACUCACUUAAUGAAAUGGAAAAUCAUCUAACAAUCGGGAGCGGUAAAGUAUCAGUGUAAGCAGCAAGUGUGGGUGUUGAACAAAACAAGUAAGCUAAGGCGAGACAUAAAUCUGGGUUGAUAUCUUUAACUGACAAGUACUUGAAAGAUGGGUUUAUAGCCUACUAUCUUUAUCUUAAUGACUUUGAAGCAAGGUUAAGUAGAGAGAGAGUCGCUUCUUGCCCUUAAACGAACUACUCUUAUUACCUUGAUUCCCUUUCACCUGGUGUGAAAGCGCUCGAAAGAUGAAGUUUCAAGUUAGCGGGAAAGAAAUCAGUAUUAAGAAAACUCUUUAUAAGCGGGAAACACAAGCUUACGCACGCACCCCGUUUCCGUUACUUGGUCUUGCUUAGUGAGUGGUGCAUUAGCUAAUUCCAGAAGAGAAGUAAACAAAGUGAGCCGGGCAAGUCAAAUAAGUUGAGUAGCCAGUUGCUCCAGAAAAGAAGUAGAAAGUCCUGUUGAAGGUUAUAGGACAAUAGAAGUAGGCCUGUAUCUCGUCAUCAAGUUUCAAGUAAAGUAUCUGAAGUUUCAAGUAAAGUAUCUGGGCUGGUUUUUUCACCCUUAUUGUUAGUUGUAUUGUAGACCGCCUCUUCUACAAGUCCUUGAAGCACUAACACCAAUAACACAAUUCUACUUUCCGCAGGCAGCAGGAGAUAAUGCAGAAACUUGAGUUGGCGCGGGAUCAGAUGCUCUUACAGCCUUUGAAGCAGAAGCCAGAUCUGUUCAAGUUUCAUCGUUUUCAGAAGAAGAGGUUUGGUUAAGCCGUGAAAUGAUUCAAUUCAGGGAAGCAGUGUUUGUAUUUACUCGGUUCUAGACCAGAUGUUCGAGAGUCAAAUGAAAAUGAAUGAGUUGCACUCAGUCGUUAGCGCAACUGAACAAGUAGACAACACUAACACUUUCAAUCAUAUUCCGGAGGUACCAGCGAGCUACUGCGGGACGGCAAACUCACUAUCCUAGCGUAGUAGGGCAUUUCAAAAGAGAAUCAUCUUAUAUAGUCGACUUAACUCGAACGGAAUCUGCUCUCAUAGACCACUUUCCGCACCCGAGCAAAAGACUUGAGGAACCGCCCAGGCUCACCCCUCUCCUGUGACAAAGUUCUAUACAAUGCCAGUGAACGCUAGAUUAGAUUCCAUUCAGUUUGUUCAGUUAAAUGAGUAAGAACUAGCAAGGGAACUAGCACCCUCACUUCACUUUUGAAUAGAAACAUCAUUACAUCGCACAGCUGCAGAUCCAACUUAUUAUCUUGAAACUCAUCUGAAAACGAAAACUACAUUUGCUUUUCCAACAAGUGAAGAAGCAUAAGAUCCUUCGCCAGCGGAUUAUGAUUCUCCAGUUGAUGCUUUUGCCUCUUCUUCUAUUGUAGAUGACACUCGAACAGAAUAGAAUUGACGGGCCUUCUCAAGCAUACAAAGAGAUUCUUGGAGACAACACUCACACUCAACUCUACUUCAAUACAAGCACCAAAAGAGUAUACUCAGAUUCCUUACUUAUAGGCGCGGAAGAAGAAUUCUAGAAGCCACCAAGUCUAAGUGCAUUAGCCAGCGGGGGUGCUAAAGGAGUUUACAAAGGUUCGGAAAGCAAAAGGCAAUAAUGAAGUACUUGGCACCUUAGUGGAAGAGUUCGAUUACGAAAUUCUCAUAUAUGCGGCACUCCUCAUUCAAUAAUAAACGAGCAAGGGUGCAACUCCUCAUUCAAUAAUAAACGAGCAAGGGUGCAACUCCUCAUUCAAUAAUAAACGAGCAAGGGUGCAACUCCUCAUUCAAUAAUAAACGAGCAAGGGUGCAAAGGGAAAGCCAGGGUAAACUUCCAUUGUUGGAAGAAAUUCCCAAUCUUGCCUACCGACAAUGCUCUGAGAAUACUUGUAGGGGAAAGCCCAUCAUACAUCUAUACUGAAGUAGACCAAGUAAAGUCAACCCAGAUUUAGAGUCGUAUAAUCCAUCCUAUUCGUUGCGAGUAAACGUUAUCCCACAUUCCCAUAGAAAUGAAUUCUUCUCUUUCUUCCCCGAAACCUUGAACCUCAUCUCCCUCUUGACCAUGAGUUCUUCAUAUUGAAGUUCCGUUGGUUCCUUAGCUUGCUCGUAUUUAGAGUCAAUUAGUUUGUUUUGCGAAAUGUUACUUUGAGGCAUAGUGUACCUUUGAGGAUCGAGUGCCUUUUCUGGUUGCUCCGAGUUCGAUUCGAAAGUCAACUGCAAGCGGGAAGGAGACUAAUAUGAUGCUGCUGACCUGACAAGCGCCUUAACGGCAACAAACACCCCUGAUGAAAUAAUAACCCGCUUAUACUCUAUACUAAACUCUAUCUGCGCCCUUGCCCAAUACUGAAUAUCAAAGUAAGCAAUAACUUAAUCUCCAAGUAAGCAAUAAAAUAAUAAGUAGAAGCUCUGUGGCCUUGGAUGCGGUGCCUCAAUUCCCAUCUUUAUGCUGUACUGCAGAACGUAUCAACAAUCGAACAAGAAAGAAAGGCAAGCAAGGGCGGGGCAAGUAAGGCAAAGAACUAGCUUUCGCGCACCUGUACUGGAUUCUGCCCCAUGAACUAACUUUAAGUCAGAACCGAACCGCUUAACCGCUUUUCUCUGAUUACCAAGAUAAGAUCUAUACUAAACUAUCUUAUCUAAUUAUUAUUCUUAUCCGGAUUAUGAAAAUUGAUGCUUUCGUCGAGCGUAGGAGUUAAUGGUUGAAAGUCAGACAAGUAACUGCUUAGCAACUCGAUUUUCGGAUACCGGCUUGUUGGUGAUAUCGGCUUGGCUUCCCCUUUCUUUUGCUUAAAAACGAAAUACUUCCCUUUGGCCUAUCUAAGACAAACCCUCUGGAGCUUCUUCUCGGAUUGUUAACCCGAUUGAUAGAUCUAGAAUUACUAUUUCUAUAUGAGACCACUAUCACCCCUAUCUUUCUUUCGACUCUUCAAAAGUGAGAGUUGCCGGCAAGAGGCAAAAGAUAUUAGACAUCAAAUGCAUUUUCACUGCGGGUAUGGUCUAAAUAGGGAAUUCCACUAAAUAUGAGUUUCCCAUGGCUUAAACGGCGAAAAGAGGCCUUACUCGGCACAGUCUACUCGGCUUUGUAAGCUUCUUCUCCUUGUAAUUGAUUUCUGCCUUUCAUUAGAAGCUAGAAGACUCUGAGUUUCGGGUAUAUUAGGCAAGAUAUAGUUCUCGGCAGCAGCACGCACUUAUGGAAAUGCAGCUCUAACCUACUGGACUUUCUUUCGCAGGUCUUCCUUCUUAACAGGUUGGCUAACUUCCAUCUCAUCUUUUUAUGGAUACCAUUGCUCACGAUCUUUCCAAUUCUUUCUAUUCUAUUAGGUGGAAGCCAGUCAUAGCGAGACUCAUCUGGCACUGCGAUUGAGAACUUCUGCUCGUGACAUCUAAGUUAACCACUGAUUUGAUCUUUCGACAUCUAAGUUAACCACUGAUUUGAUCUUUCGACAUCUAAGUUAACCACUGAUUUGAUCUUUCCGGGAUAAUAAAGUAAGGACUUGAAGAGGAAGACAAAGGCUAGACCUGGAAAUAAGGAUUCCUUUUAGAAAGGGGACUACUUUUCACUGGGGAAUCCUUCUCUAUAUCAUACUGAACCUAUACUUCACUUUUGGGCGUCAGGAGCUUACACUAGAAUUGCCCCCAUCCAACCCAUCAUCUAAUCUCUAAGAAAGCAUCGUUUCCAUUCGAAUCCAGACCCCCUUCCUCCAAGUGAGUUCGACAGGCAAUAAGCGUUAAGGCGCACCUCUUCUAUCGCAUACUUGUUAUCUUGCCCCAAUCCCUUUAGCCAUCAAGUAAGCCACAAACCCUUUCUUUCCUCUUUAACUACAUAACUCUUGAACUCCUCUCUUACCGCACGCAUAUAGUAAACGAACAAGUAAGAAAGUCAGAAGUAAGCCCAAAACUCAGAAUUAUACAAGAAAGUUGGCAAGUAGGAAAGUGAGAAUUCCACUGCUAAGUAAGCAAAAGGGAAGCCCUAAGUGAGAAGUAAGCCCAAAACGAAAAACCUCAUGGAAAGGAUAAGGGAGCAACUGGUGCGUUGGGAACAGUUCCAUACCUUGGAGAAGCAGUAGAGACCAUUUACUCUAGGGGUGCAACAGCAGAAAGACUGUGAGAACACCCCAUCAAUGGGAACAUAUAGGAAAGGAUACAGCAGUAAAACAUAUAGGAAAGGAUACAGCAGUAAAUCAUAUGAAAAGGCUGCUGGACGAAGAGGUAACAUAUGAUGCCGCCUCGCCCCUUAAAGCUUCUAUUAGUAGCUUCAGGGUGGCUAACAGUAUAAGUCUAUCAUAUACGAAGGAGGGUGGGAGAUUGCAGCCCGCGGAUUGGCUAACCAAACCCGUAAGCGUGGAUUCCUCUGAGGUAGCAGCUACAAAAGUCAGUGAAGAUGUUAUCUUUAAGAGAAAUUGAGGCACUGUGAGCUCCAUGGUGCUUUACUUCUCUGGGAGUGAAAAGUGUAUACGUACCGAGGAAGUUUGGGCCAACGAGGAGCCCUAACAGUAUUAGUUGGAAGAGCCAGAGUGGAAUUAAGAUCUAGUUGCCAGCUGCUUGGCUGUUGUCAGUGGCCAUAGUUAUAGUAGCCUGAGUUAGAUGAGAUGGAAAGGUAGAACACUGGUUAGGAGUUUCAUUCAAUGGUCAGAAUAAGGGAGCUGUCACUAAUACUCAGACAACGAAUAAUAAUAACUAAUACUAAGCAUUGGUCUAAUACUAAUACUAAUAAGAAAAAACGAAUACUAAGCAAAGGUCUAUUGCUGCGUCAUAUGAUCUGGUUGACUUUCCUUGCACAAACAAGGACAUAUCCUUCUGAGGUGAAAGGCUAUUGAUUGGGAUUAGGAAAGCCUUGUUCAAAAGUCUGAGGAAAGAAAGUCCCACUGCAUCCGGUACAAAUAGGUUGCUAUUUAGCCAAACACGAAAUUAGGAUCAUAAAUCAUCAUAUAUCUAAUAAGGACACCCGCAAUCCAUUAAACAUUGAUGUUUCUGCCCCCCAUUGAUUUCUCAAUUAGCAUUGAUAAGGGCCCCGUAAUUGAUUUCUCUUUGAUAAGGGUUUUUCGAUUUCACAAGUGAGAAGGAGUUUUCGAUUUCAAGUAUAGUUCAGUGUCCUUGUGUCUUUGGGUUAAGGGGUAGCCUUGCCUCGCCUGCAAAGGGUCGAGCCUUCACUGCUUGUAUUCUAUUCUUUUCCUCCCAGUGCUAUUACAUACGGAAUAAGAUGUGGGUCGGAAGCUUGAUUCGAGCUCUUCCCCAUUCCUUUCCCCCAAAAAGAGUUAACCAUGGCUCGGUGGUAAAGCAGAAGAAAUCGAUGGGUUGAUUGGUUGGAUGCAUUCUGCCUUUCUCGGUCACACCCAUGCAUAGAACUUCAAGCCUUAGCAGUUCCGGCGGAUCAUCAUUGUUCGCACUCCAGGGAUCCCUAUGAUAUUUAGACAUUAUUCUAUUCCAUAUGAAGAUUUCUCUAUUACCUAUUAUAUAUGUAGACAUUAUUCUAUAUUCUAUAUUUAGACAUUGUAGACAUUAUUCUAUAUUCUAUAUUUAGACAUUAUUCCAUUUAUACAGAAUCCCCAUACGAGCGUGGAAUCCCCAUACGAGCGUGGAACCGGAACUUCCCCAUCUCAUCUGCUGGCAUGAAAUAGAAAUCCGUGGCAAAGCCCGUAAAUCACAAGGAAAUCAAUCUUAGACGCUUGACGUCGGUAGAGAGAGAUGAUUGGCUUCUUACUUGUUUGACCUCUCUUGGGAAAUCAAUCUUCUUACUUGUUUGACCUCUCUUGCUUGGCUUCUGGUUGUUUGUCUCCGGGUCUGAACCCUUACCUUGUCUUGCCCACUCGCCCCCUUCCUUCCCGGCACCAAGCAUUCCUAGAUAUUGCUCCAGUGGUUGACUACUCGCAUUGGUGGUUUACUAUCCUGCUCGCCUAACGAAAUCAAAUCAUCAAUACUAGCUUGGCCCCAACUAUUUCCGUUUAUCCUACAGCAGCUGGCGAGCCACUCUUGAGACGGAGCUUACUCGGCUAGCAACGGGCACUGGCGACGGAGAACAUAACUUCUGACUUUGGUUGUGGACCGGAACGAAUUACUUGCUCUUUCUGCUUUCCUCACCGUUGAGAACCGCAUAACUCAUUCUCAGUCACAACUUCGAAUCCACUUCAAUCAACCCAUUUGAAUAAGAGCGGAUCAAACUAUGCACACCAAAUCCAAUCAAGGAGGGGCAGUGGGUGAUUCUUCCUACCAAGGUCAACCAACACUCAAUCUCAACUCGUAGACUAGUAAACGAAAGCGAAGGGUACGCAAGGCAUUCGAUCUUCAAGCGAAAGGGAAGGGAGGUUCCAUUUGAUUCCGUUGGUAAAGGGACAGGUCAACAAAGUCCGCAGCUCUCGAAGUGAGAAUACACCUCCGCCAUAGGAUGACCCGAAAACGGGACCAAAUAGCUAUAGUAUCGCUACGUGGGGGAUCAGUGCUUUUUUACACCAGCAGUGACUCUAUAUCCAAAAUCAAUCGAUUACCAUGCAUUGCAUUCUUUUUUACACCAGCAGUAACUCUAUAUCCAAAAUCAAUCGAUUAAUUCAUUCCUUCCCGGUCCCCGGUUGUUUUCUCUUUUGUUUCUAUGCAUAGGGGGUCUCCAGUCUAGGAAUCCGGUUUGUUGCAGUUGAGUGACUCGGGUGUUGAUCAGAAGAGUUGCUCAGAGAGGAUCAACGUAGUUAAGAUUGAUGAAUUCGUUUUGACCCGACCGACGAGGUUAACCGUGGGAUCCUUUGCUUUCUGCUGUUUCGUUUGGAACAUUGUGGAUUUGACCUGACCCCUUGAGUACUUUGUAUCAAGAUUCGCAGCUCUUGCUUUUCUCUCUAGUUCAACGUUCACUCCUCCAUGGAAACUUCGAUCUCGGUGGUUCAAUUGAGUUUCAAUCCAUUCGGUGAGUUAUACCCUGUAGUAGCUCCUUCGCCUCUAUCGAAGGUACCUGUAUUCAUAGUAGCAACAGUAGGAGUGAGUUCAAAAAGAGACUAUACUUGCCUAGUAACAGACUUAGGGGGCCAAGCAACAGUGCGUACUAGAGCAAGAAAUAGGGUAUUAGUUUUUUGACUUCCCUUGCCCGAUCAAAGUAAUGACCUGAAUGGACUGAUGGUUAUUGUCCCGCUAUAGCUGGUGGAGUAAGGUAUAUCGGACUACUCCUGAGUUUAUGGUGUAGCCAGUAAGAGAAGAAGCAUACGUUGUGUUGCACUUUCUGAAUCUUAAUAAGAUGCCCGGAGCAGGUAAAGAAGCAGUUUUCAGAGCAGGAUAAGGGGAGAGAGCAGGAUCAAGUUCAGGAUCAGACUCCGGGGAGUAAUAGCCGGUUUAGGAUCAUAAGCUAUAAGAUAUGGUUACGUGGGCUAUCCGAACUCUCUUAACAGAGACCUGAGCCCUGAUUGAUAGUACUUAUUGGUGAAGCCGUGAACCUAGAUUUAGAGUCAAACUACCCAUGUUCUUAGACUCUUACGGCAUUUAUGACAUUUAGGUACCAACUCGAGCUCCCGAAAACUGUCAUUUCACUUGCGUAGAGGUGGGAAUUGGUUCUUCUUAUCCUGUUUAUUAUCUAUAUUCUAUAUUAAGCUUCCUCUCCAGCUGCUGCUUUAACCUCUUCUUCUUUAAUUCGAAGUUUCUAUACUAAAUCAACGAGUCAACCAGGAAUCCUUCUUUAUUGCUCACUUGAAAGAUACUUUACAGCUAUGUGGGCAUGAGAUUAGAGAGUCGACUCCACUUUCAUUUACUUUACAAGCACAAUAACUCUCCUUGAUUACGAAUAUGUAAGGGCCCUACCUUUUCUCUUUCGGGUUAUCCGUAAUACUCCUUUUCAGUCCUCCUACUUGGCUUCUUAGGCUUCUGACUUUUACCUUUUCUUGUUCUGCUGUCUCUCUGGCUGAGUGAGCUUCUCUGCUCUGUGUUGUUCUCAGUGAACUAGGAAGAAAAUAGACAUCAUUGGAUCCCCGCUAUAGACCAAAUGGAACUUAGUUAAUCCCCCACUGGGUUGGAUUCUCUGCAUUGAUAGCUUUAGUCUACCCUCCCUUCCCCACUCGCCCGCCCUUCCGCGUACUACUAUUAGAAUACAACCACUGCUAGUAAGAAUGCAAUUAGCGCCUCUCAUACCAGAACUUGGAACCAGGACUUUGACUCAUAAUAUCAGAAUAGGACUAGCGCUUCUAGCUCUGUAGCUCCUGUCUUCCAUUUUCUAUACACUAGAUAUCAAACUUACAUUCCUUGACGAAAGUCUUUAGUUCGGCAGCUUCGUUCUGUUGAUCCUGUCUGCAAUUCUUUGGCCCUUAUAAUAAUUGCUAGCGCGCCUACUCACAAGACUGCUUUUCCUGUCUUUGGUUCUGAAACUACUAACUAUAGGUCCCACUGCUUCAUCUAAUCCUGAUACUUUGUGGAGGUGUUUCGGCUUCCCUUCCUGGCUUUUAGCCUACCGCUCCGGUAUCUCGUUUUUUAGUUCGCCGCUCCUUUGUAUGCCCCGUUGCUUGCUAGCCCGCCCCUCCUGCAAUUCCGUGUUUCUGUCCUUUCUCUGUCUCUUACAUAUGCUUAUUAGUUUGACCUACUCGUUAGUUACUUGGUGAGUGGAGCUAUUAUGAAUCAAGAAUUGGACCGGCGCUUCUCUUUCCUGUAACUACUAUACACACCUAUAAGCCUGUCUGCACUAACUCCUAUUCUGACUACCCUGCUGAUCAGUCACCGAGCAAGAUAACCUAUCUUCUUUUGUGACUCCGCUCCCAAUGCCUAUGCUCCGUUUGAAGUCUGUUUCCCUUUACUUUGACUUUCGCUCUUCCUCUAUCAACUGUUAGAAUCAAACGAAUACUUAAUAAGCAUAAAAUACAAGAAUGGAGCUACUGGACUUCAAUCUUUCUCUAUUGAUCCCGGGUGUUUAAUGUUAGCCUGCCAUGCCUUUUUCUUACCUGUAUUCUUGUGCUACUGAUUUAGAUCUUUGCUUUAAUGCUAUAGUAGUAACUUGCCUCUUGAACUCCGAUACAUCUACUAGUACAAAUACAUACCUCUUUCUCUUACCUCAUAAAGUGUAAAUUACCCGGCUGAGAAUCGAGACCUCUGUAAACUCAUUCCAUUCCAUUCUUCAUCGGAUUUCGGUAUACCUCUCCUACGGCUCAGCUAACUCAGGCUAAUAAGUAAGUUUCUGGACACCUCGUAUCAAAGCUACCGAAAAAGGACUUAGGCCAAGCAACAUAGUCAGCGGCAGGAGCGGUGAAACUCUGGAACUCUAGGCGGAUUCAGCAGUAGCCAUUCACUCGAUCGACAAAAGGAAAUGCCCGAUGGACUCCUUCUUCUCUUUUUUCUUAGUCAAGUCAACAGUCUCAUCUCCAACUGAAUGAUCGGGCGUACUACGACUAAGAGAAUACGGGAAUGGUCCAAGAUCCGGAUACACUAAACCCUCUCCGACUGCAGACGAAGAUCGAGUUCGAAUAGAAAGUAUCCAAGGCAGGAAGACAUCAACAGAGUAAGCAAUCGAAGACUUCGAAGCUCUAAGAUAGAAGCUGCUUUCCAAGAAUCACCAGUCCCACGCUAUACGACGACAACUGAACCAUAGAAGGAGGCGGACGUAAUGGACCAGACAGACCAGAUGAAAGGCAAGCGGAGUCAUUCGACCCUAAAGGGGGCCUCGAAUGCUUACAAGACUCGCCUGAAUUGGACUACCAUAAACUAGCCCGACAUACUACUUUACGCAAUUUGAUACAUCGAAAGCGCACCAACCACAUAAGGUUCCACACCAAGAUCAAAUGAGGGACCACUAGUGGCAUUUCUCAUAUACGUUGGUUGGACCACUGCCGGAGAGAAAGGCUGACCCUAUCCAAAACCCUUAGCACAAUAAUAGGUGGGGGGUAUGGCGAUCCAACUACUACCCGCGGAACAGAGAUCCUUUCCAGUCAAGCUAUCCUCACUCAACAAGGGGAAUGAUUAGAAUCCAGCGGGGGUUAGUAAAAGACUAGGCCAAUGGUGCUCCACCAGCAACCUCUUACCCUCGUUCAACGAAGAAAGUGCAAUCCGUCCUUUCUUAGGGUUAGCUCUUACACAUUCUCCUUAUCAACAUCCAGGAUAUGAUUUGGACAAAAGAAUCACCAGUCCCCCACCAUAAAAGAAAAACCAAAUAAUGGAAAGAAACCUAAAAGAAGAUGUCCUACAACCGCAUACACAUACCCUCGAUACAAAGCAAGAAAGAAAGCAAACUCAGUCCUCGCCUCAGGUGAGCCAACCUUUCAAGCAAGAAUCUACUUAAACCACAAAGAAGAUAAUCAUUAUAUGAGAAAGAGCUUCAAAGAUAAGUGUAAGAAAUCCGGAUUUCGCUUUUUGAAUACAACUACAUUUCCUACGAGACGGAUUUAGGACUGACGGAGAGUUUGUUACUAGUUGUCAAGCCCUACAUGAAUUAGCACAAGGAUUAGUGCUUUCUCCCGGUUGAGUAGAUUUAUUCGCUUGCCUCGAAGACUGGCAUUAGGCCCCUUACUUAUGAUAGGAUUGAUUCGAAGCAAAGCCUUCUCUGGGAGAUGCUAGAAGAAAAGACUAGAAGCGCCCGGGGGGGCAAUUACACAGGCUAGCAGACAACCUAUAGCUAUUCCCUUGCAACAACCAAAAAUAAGUAAGCCUUCCUUCCAACAAUAGUAGGGUUUGGAAUGCAUACGGAAUGGAAAGCUAGAACGAAAGGGCAAGCAUCAGACAUAGGGACUACGGGAUAUACGUAAUAGCGGGACUAAGAGAUUCUCAAAACUAGUAAAGAAAAGGCCCCUUCGUAGACUAAGAAAGUGGGCAAUGGGGAUAGACCUUAAGCCUUCGCUUUUUCGGAAUACGGGAGGUAGUAAUGGGCGGAAUAAGUGGGCUGGCUGGGUGGAGAUAUAGGGAAAUCUAAGUAAGCGAUCUCAGACAUCUACAGAGGAAAUCCAAAUUCUUCCUGGAGAAAGAUUACAACACAAAUGACUAAAAAAGGGGCAAAGCCAGAAAUCCAAUCUAUUCUUUGCAAGAAAUCCAAUCUAUUCUUGACUUUUCUUAAGUAGGAAAAAGAGAGAAAUCAAGCAAGGAAUCCAAUUCGAGCCUUUGUUACACGCCAGGAACGGAGCACUCGCUAAAGGAUAUUCCCUUCCUUGCAGCACUUCAAAAAGGAGUUUCACAGACUCAAACAAAAGGAACUCGCUUACAGGACCGGCAUAGGGCGUUAGUGCUACGGAUUACUUACUAGAUGGAAUAGGCUUGUCUGACCUCUCCUUCCUUUCAUCUUUGGCAUCUCUCUUCUCUUAUGAUACCUUACCACUUUAGGGACUACCGGAAUCGAAUAAGACUGGUAGGAAGACUUCAAGGGCUUGGAAUGAUUACUUUAACCUAAAGCCGUUACAACCUUCCAUUCACUCACGGAACAAUAAUAAAGCCGUUACAACCACACUUCCAUUCACUCACGGAACAAGAAAAACACUUGAAGCCGCGGUAAACAGAUUUAUGUCAUCUGCACCUUCCAUCAGGAGGAUCAAACUCAUCUUUUCUAUUCCUUCGCAGAAAACAGACCCCAGGAAUGCUUGCUGUUAGCUGGUAAGGGAAAAAGGUUUGGGGACGAAGGGAAUCCGACUAUGGCACUCAAACGACUAAGACGAAUUCCGUCGAUUUGGACACUAUUCCUACUGCUACUGCGAGAGCUACUGCAGUAAGGAAGGAAUGCAUUCGCUUUCCACCAACCUUGUUUGGGGGGUUUUGACCUUGAUUACACGACUUCUGCUUCUCUCCCUCUUUUUCCUGUCCUAGAAAUCCGGUAAAGAAGUAAAGUAAACAAGCAGUGAGACAUCUCCUUAUAUUAUUUAUUAAUCAUUAAGUAGCACUUUAUUGAAAGCCGAGCAGAGCAGAGACUCGCUUUUUUCUUUGUACCGAAAUGAAUCAUAGGGAUACAUUAUUCGCGGAUUAUUCUUCCUUAUGAUUCGAGGCGAGGCUCAUAUGUCGAAGAGGCAAGGAAGAGGAUCCAAUGACGUGAUUACAGGGGCUGAUUCCGCGUGAUACUUAUAGCCAUGUGUUAGAAAAGGUGUCUAAGAGACUUAGUUCUUUGAAGUCUAGCUCUUUCUCUUUGGCAGGUCGAAUUACCUUCAGCCCAGUCUGUUUUAACAGCAUUGCCUACUUCUCCUCUAUUGAUCUGCACGGCAGGGAGUUGGGGCAAGAACAAGUGAAAGGUGCUUCUGAAGCUAAUGUGGUAAAGUCGAAAGUCAGGGGUAUUCGUUCCAAGUCGCAGGUAUUAGAGAUAGAGAUUGGUAACAACCCUAGAGUGAAAGGCUUAACCGAGUAGUAGGAAUCUCUGUCCUGUGCCCUUAAUUAAUGCCAUAAAGAAGGGAACAACCAUCAAGAAGGAACCAUAUAAAGAUGUUAGGAAGAAAUGCAUUCGUUGGACAGUUUCCGAGUAUCAAUGGAAUUAUGGCUAUCAGAGGAGUUUCCCCUGCCUUAUCAGACUCUAAAUAAGGGUUGAUGCAACUCGACUUGAUUGAGGCUUUACCGACCCGCUACUUAUGAGUUCCCCCACUUGAAGUUAAUCUGGAAAUUGGAUCUAUGGGGAGCACCCGUAUAAGUCAUAUUCCCUGCCUCAGAGACUUCUCUUUAUCUUUAUCCAUCCUGUCUACUGCUUGAGUAGACUUAUCAUUUGCUAUUGGAUACGGAACUUGCACUGCAGAUUCUCUAACUACUGCAUUCUGUUGAAACUGCUUCCUCGCCGGAUAUUGCUUAUGAACCCGGUUUUGAUCCUGGUUUUGAUCCUGACUUGCAAACUAGACUUUCUUAUGCUCCGAUACCUCUGUAAACUGCCAAGCUAGUGACCGAUUCCAAUCUUUCGAUAAGUCAAAUGAGUAACAAGUUCUUCUAUACCAUAAGUAGAUGUAGGCUCGGGUGCUUGUGUUGGUGGUGCUGUUCUAAAGUCUGCUCGGGCUGAAACAAGGUAUGACCCAUUUUCUGCAUCUAGUAUAAGGCAAGUAAUUGAACUACAAACUCGGAACCAGGAUUAGAUGAAGCAGUGGGACCUAUAGUUAGACCAGACCCGAGCCCCAACAAGCCGGAACUAAACUCAUUCGUAUAUGAGAAUAGGCAGAUUCAAAGAUGGGUACUACUAUUUGUAGCCGUAUUCGGAUAAGUAUUGGCAUGAGUAUAAUAAGAACAAGUCUCCGUUAAACAAGUAUUUGUUUGAGUAGCUGUAUCGGUAGUGAGAUAUAAGUAGUCAACUCAUCAACUAGAUAUAAGUAGUCAACUCGGAUUGAAGGAAGUAGUGGUAUACUAAAACAAACAAGUCAGAAAAAAAGGCAGUAAUUAAAAGACUACAAGAGGGGUAGGCUCGGUUGGUGGUUUAAGUCACCAAGCAACUACUAAUGACCAAGCCACGGAUAGACAAGUAGGCAAGCAGACAAGAAACUACUAAACAAGCAAGGGCGACAGGGCAAGGGGAUCAAUUCUGGAACUACCUCCUCUCAUUCUCAUUGUUACUGCUUUCAUUCCCACUACCACUAGGUUAAGUCUGUAACACCUAAGCUUCAGCCCGAGCAUACCCAGCAUCUGGUUUGCUAGCCGUGGUUUGAUUCCGAUACUGCUUAGGUCAAUUCUGAGUUAUACUGGGUUGAUUCUGUGGUUAGAUACCUUAGCUACCAAUAGUGACAUCCUAGCACUUGUUUCGGUGGGAAUGUAGCUGCUUUAAGACUUCUACUGACUAGCUGCCCCCUGGCUCUUAUUCUUGGACUCCCGGGUUUUUUGAUAGCAAAUAGAGAAAGUGGUUAACUCGACCUCCGCUCUGUAAACUCAUUCUGUAAUUACUACUUAUGAGCUUGCUGGCUUUUCUCUGAUCCUAAACCCCUGGCUCUGGCUCUGCUUCCUCGCCUCAAUCCACUCCCUUCCCUUACGCUGGACUACUACUAGUUGGGGCUCGGAAUAGCUUACCACAAACACAUAGCCAGUAUCAGGCGCAUCUACCGGAGUCAACUAAUACAGAUGCAACUGCGACAACAAAUACAGAUGCAACAGGCAAGGAAGCACUAACGGGAGCAAGAGGAGAAUAAAGAAGCAAGAUCUAUCUGGAAAGGAGACAGCACCAACCAACCCUCUAUCCUCUACCGUCAAGCUACUACUAAUCAAGCUACGACUAAGUCCUUUGUUGGAGGCUUUGAUACCGAAGCUUGAGAAGGAAUAAGGAACUAAAGGAAGGCCAAGUGGGAAGGGCCAAGCUACUCACUACCCUUGAAAGGCUGGAAACCAAACAACUCACUACUUGUUCUAAAGUGUAGUAGGCCUAUUCGACGGCUAUGAAGGUAGAAAACCACAGAAUCCAAUUCGUCACUGACAGAAACACACGCACCCGAAACUUCCUAUAGGGGCCUAUCCGUAGUCAACUCAUUCCAUUCCAUUCUUCUUUAUUACGCCAACCCAUAUGCCCUGUUUAUAGGCUUUCAAUGCAUUAGAAGCUCUCUUAGGCGUAUGACAUGAGAAUUAGUACAUCAAACAUCAGAAGUGCUUAAAUAGUUCAUUUCUUCUUAAUCAAAUAGACCCUUUGCCUUUACUUACCUUCAAGCUGUCUUCCACCCUUUAUUUAAUAACGGAUUUCUUUGACUACUGAGUUCAAUUACCUCAUUGGUAGCCGUUGCUACUGAUUCCACUUUACCACUCCACUCCUUACCUUACCCUUACUUUCGAACAGGAACAGGUGAUUCUCUUUCUUAUCUAUCCCUAAAUUAGUAACAAUUAUAUACUUCCAUUUGUAACAUUGUUACUUAGUUUUAGUCAUAUCAGUCCCAAGUUCUUCUAUACCUCUGGCACCCGAGUGAGUAGUUUCAUGAAAUACCUUAUCCGGCUUGUCUUAUGGCUCUGUACUCUUUACUACUCGUUUACUUGUUUGGGAUGAAACAGGACUCCUACUUGUCCACUUCAGACUCACAGUUUUCGGCCCUCUCUUAUCUUUCCUUCCAACCUAGCCGAGUUCUCUUUCCCCGCGAAACCAGUCCUACCUUACCCAGCCUAAUGGAAAUACUAAGUCAUUAGUUACGACUACUUGACAUGCUGAGAAUUAAUACCUUAGUUUAGGUAGGCACGGGAACCCUCUUUUCCUUGGUCAACUAAUACAGUUAGGGUCUCCAUUCUUCUCAUUAGAGGUAUCCGGUUCGAAGCAAGUAAAGAGCAACACAGUAGAUCGGCAGUUCCAGCAUGUAAGGAUUGGUCACAGAAUUCAAAUAAGUAGUUAGAGCUUUAGAGCUAGCAAGUCUGGAUCCGAAUCAUUGGUUAAAGAAAGAGAAAAGUACCCGUUUUUGUUUGAGAAUGAAAGCUAGGAGAUAUAGUCAGGUACCAGCAAUGAAAGGAUCGGUGUGUUAAGGGGACUGACUUGAGAACAGCUGAUGAAUUCUCUGAUCUACUUCCUUCACACUCUCCUUGAUUCACUCUUUUAGCCGAGAAAACAGAGGCGCUAUAUGCGCUUCAACAGAAGUGGGUAACCAAUUGUCCCAUGAAGACAGGACUCAGCCCUUACCUCUAUAGCAAGCACCCUUGCCCCGCAAAUAAUGAAUAUCUUAUUUACUUGAAGUGAAGCUAGCUAACCUGACUAGUCCUUGCUUUAAGAAGAGAAAGAAGGCUUAUCGGAGUACGAGCGAAAGAAUGGCAAGAAGGCAACUCGUGUUCAGCUUUCGUGAGUGGUGUGAGUUCCACUUGUUGAAUUGAGUUAGGAAACCUCCUUAUUAAAGGUUAAAGGACAGAGAUAGGGUUAAAGGACAGAGAGAGGCAGAGUUUAGUAUAAAUGAGUACAAAGCAAGCAAUAAAUCCAAUAAGUUGUUGAGUUCGUGCUAACUAACGUGUUAUGAUUUGGAGUUUUGGGUAGCCAUUAGAUUCGUGAGUUCCUGAAGCCGUUGUUUAGUGAGUUAAGGAGUAGAGUUCCGUUCGCCCUUGUACGUUCGAGUGUGCGGGGUGCCCUUAUUUAGCUUAGGUGCAAGGUUACUACUAUCUAUGGAUAGCUAGAUGAUAUUGCUGGUUGACUUCUGGUUUACUUGACUUUCACUGGCCCACAACUCUAUUGGCCCAACUCUCUUCUAUUGGCCCAACUAUCUUUACUGCUAGGUUAAUGCGAUAGCGGUAUCGUCUAAAGUUGAGUAGAAAGUAACGUUAAAGUAUAGUAUAGAUUACGGUGCCUCCGCCUCAUAGUAAGCAGUCAGCAGUGAGUUUAGGGGUGCGCCUAUGAUAUGAGCUUUGGCUUUGGAGGAAAUGAAGCAACUACGGAAUCUUAUCCACUAAAAAAGUAAACAGAACAAGCAAGGGAACUAGCAAACAAGCGAACAAGCCUAGAAGUCAGCUGUGUUAGGUUCAUCCUAGAGAAGAUAGUAAGUAGUAAGUUUCAGUUAGGUUCCGCCCCUACCCUAUAUAAGUUGUUGUGCGUGAGUUAGCUUUAAGAAGAGAGAAGGGAAUUGAGCUAUCCCAGACUCCACUCGGUAUUCCACUAUCCCAGCAGAGCCAGCAGCUUGUUGAAAGAAGUAUUUGUUUCGGUCGGCAAGGAAGCAGUUAGAAUCUGUUCUCUUGCUUAUAAAAGAGAGAAUGAAAGUGAGCCAUAGAAUCCUGUAUGUCUGCUUGGCCCCUACUUAAUCCUAUCUAUUCUUAUUAAGGAUUGAGCUGUUCUUAUUAAGGAUGGAUUGAGCUGCUCUUAUUAAGGAUUUAGUUGAGAAAGAGAAAAGCUAAUCGGUGAGGGCAAGCGAGUAGUUUCUUUCUUUACCAGUAGUUUCGAGUUGCUAGUCCCGUAGUUGGCGAUAGGAGAGUUCUUGUGCUCGUUGCUUGGCCCUUUUCUUCGAAUAAGAUAGCUCCACAGUAAAGAUCACUUGCCUCAAUCAGCAAUCAAUCUGCUUUUUCCUUUGUAUGCCUUCCUUCGGCAAAAGGAAUUAACGAUUCUCCCCCUCUGGAAGGGUAAGGUUCCAAUUGAUAGCUAUUCUGGCAUUCCUAACACUAACAGAAGCAUUUACUAGCCUGAGAGGUCUGGAUGACAGGAAAGAAAUAAAAAGACGUUACCAAAAUAGGGUUCAUUAGCCUCCAGCCGAGGGAGAAUUCUGGCUUGUUCCUCCAAGUCGUAUAUAUAUAUCUAUAUAAUAUAGAGUUCGUCCAUUCGGGAAGGGGAUGGCUGCCCACAUACAUGAAUAGAAUCAGAGAUCUUAUAGACUCCGGAUUGAUACUAUAGGACAUGGGAACCCAGAGAAAGAAGGAUUUUGACUCUAGAGGACAUAGGAAACCAGAGGUUAGAGAACGAGCAAAGGCAAAAUAUAGUAAGCAACCACAUUCUUGUUUAGGGAUGUCUUGCCUCUCUUCAAUGGUUGCGGGAAAGAGAGAAGGGUUCAGGGAAUCUGAAGGUAUAGCUUAGAACACCGACUGCGCUAAAGGAAGAAUACCGGAGUGGCCCGUCCAAGAACCGAUGAUUUGCGCUUUACCUAUAUGGAAUUGAGUAUAGUGGUAGUCGAAAGGAGACGCACUACUUACUGCCGAACACUGGUUCCUGUAAGUCUGGGUCUAGGGCAUCUGGUCCCACUAUAGUUUGCUUCAGGCGGUAGCGCAUCUCCGUCUUAAGGGAGGCGGCAACAAUAUAACCUUUCUUUUUGGCUGUGGACUUUGAUAGCAUAAGACCACGUGGAAGGGUAAUGCCAUAAAGUUCCCCUGGAGACCACGGAAAAGGAAGCGCCUAGUGGCUAAGUAGUUCAGGUCUGGGCCAAGUAUGGAUAUAGCAGGCAUCGAAAAGGCAUUGGCUCACACAGUCCAAAACAAGCUCCUGUACCGGCACUACCAUUAGAGUUCGAAGGUUUAUACCUAUACUGGGGCAAUCUCAUGAAUUGGGUGGGAAUUCCUCUUAUUCAAUCCAUUGUGCCUAGGCGUGUGUGGAGAAGUAAAUGUAUGCCCGCGCAUUCAUAUGUUCGGGUGUGCAUGCCCGCAAGGUUCGGCUGUUUUGAGACGUACGCUCGGCCUAUUUCUUGGUGGAUCAACCAGUGGCUGCUAGAAUAGGUCUUAGUGCUCCAUCAAAGCAGGAAUGAUCUGUCAGUUGGGUAUAACAUGGAAAGCAUUAAUAAGGCAAUCAACAUUGUGAGUGGAUUAGUCAGUUCCUCUGUAUGAAGCCAUGAGAGCAUGCCAAGGAUAGAUUAACGAUGAAACCACAAAAAGGCAAUACUUCCUCUGCUAUGGGGCGAAAGAGAAGAUAAGAAUCGACUUGCACAAAAAAACCUCUGCUGACCCUUACGAAACUAUUCUUUACAAGCUCUUCACCUUCCAUUAAGAGAGUUCUAGUAUACCACCAAGCAUAGAGGUCUAUUAUCACGUUCUUAUUGAUGGCUCUUUAUUGAAUCGUAAGCUCCCUUUGCUUUCACAUGACAUUUGAUGGUUAUUAUCUAUGCACCUUCUACUUUAGCCAGAUGACUUUUCACUUUCAUUCACUUUCUGCAGCUAGUCAAGCAAGCACUAUUGCAAACUCCAACUAUCAAAACCGUUUAUGUCAAGGUUAAUGAAUGAUUCCAGGAUGGGGGAAUAACCAUAUUCUUUGUUGGCUCGCGAUCAAUGGCUCUAUGGACGUAUUCGUAUUCUAUUGUUCGAAUUUCAUGCACGCAUGCGACCUAGAAACCCACCCCCCUCUUUCCUAGACCCAUGUCCUAUUCUCCACAAGCUGGACUCCCAGCCGAGCAAGAUCCACAAUGUUCGAAAGUUGCUUUGAAGGAAGGCUAUACCACCAAGCCAAGCUCUCCCUGAGGAAAAAUAGACUCCUCUUGAGACGCUAUAGCUAUUGCUGCAGAGCCUAGUUGAACCGAUGAAACCGAAAUCCGUUAUCGUAGUUGGACCAGCGUCACUGGUAUAGUAGGCUACCUACAUAUGCCCAGAAACAGGGAGUCGGGUGCUAUUCCAUAGUUAGCCAGAUCUAGUGUAUUACAUGAUGUGCUACGCCUUACCUAUUCUUUUAUUAGUAGGUGAACUAGAAUCGUACCGGGGUCGCACAGAACGAGAAACAGUCAAGUUAGCCUAAAAGCAAGGUGCUGAAAGCCUAAGACCUAUUUUAGCAAGUAAGGAUCAUAGGUAAACUACAGACCGAAAGGACCAACUCUUAGGCUAACAGCAAAGAGAGGUAGGCGCAAACAGGAGAUAUAGCCUGAAAGCGGGAAGCGCUAGCGCUAGUGGGUUAAGGCCCAAAGAGAGGUAGGUUGAGAAGCAGGCUCGGUUCUGUAAAUGAAGCCUGAUUUCUGUGUUUUAGUAUUAGAAGCUGUAGACUAUAAGUCCAAGAACUCAACAUAGGCAACAGUUUUAGAGCGAGUAAAGCUAAGAUCAGGAUCUGUAAGCUAUAGCCUGAAAGCGGUAGUGCCAGUCUCAUAUGUAGAGCAGGGUUCGAGGUAAUACAGUAGAGCAAGAUCAGUAUCAGUCGGGUAAGAGUGAGUUGAGAGUUCUCGUAUGAAGGGUCGUGUUUCAAUCCGGUAGUAAGUAGCACCAUUCUUUCCAGUUUACAGAGCCGUGUUUCAAUCCGGUAGUAAGUAGCACCAUUCUUUCCGUUAGUAGUAACAUUCCUUUUAUGGGGAGUUCGCGGUUCUUUAACUAACAAGUAAGUAUGCUAGGGCAAAUCCAUAUGUUAUAGAUCGGGGGGCAGUAAGCCUAGAGACAGUAAAGCAAGGAUCCUUAGACAGUAUAGAGUAGAGCAAGGUUCGAGGACAGUGUUUGAUUCGCCAGGUAGUAGUUCAUCCUUAAAAGCACUAGUGGAGUUUGAGUUUCUAGUUAAGUUAUUUAGUAACUGUUCGAUGUUUGCUCCUAUCGGCUCAAUUAUAAUAGUACACUAGGACUAGGGUUUUGGAAGAAUUAGUAGAAUUUCUAACUUAAGAGGCUAUGUUUGAGUACACAAUCCAGUAAGCAAGCCUUGUUGACAUCAGUAUUGGUAUGAAAGCAAAGGAGCGGCAGCCCGGGCAAUAAAGAGAGAACUAAAGAGUAAAGUAUCGUUAGGCACUGUUGAGAGCCCAGUUACGAGUUAAAGUAUUUCCAGUAUUAGCUCAAUUCUGAUUAAUAGUGAUUUGAUUCUGAG
rnacentral:lncRNA from 1 species